AAGUGUUUCCCCAUUGUUCUGCACCGCAUUAUGCAAACUUGGCUCAAAUGAGGAGCAAGCUUUUCACAAUAACGCACGGGUGCGAGGGUGAGUGCGAGGUUGGUCCCAAUCAGUCACAAUGUGAUCACGAGUGAUCUCCUUUAGGGAACGACAACCACUCAAGGCCAUGGUUAGCUCAAACUCUUCACGUAGCAUCUGCAACACUUUUCUUACACCAGCCUCUCCUUCAGCAGCCAAGGAGAACACCACAGGGCGUCCAAUCUGAUAUAAAACAAAGCUUGUUAGUUGUUGCCACAGUUCUUGAUAUGUUAUAAAUUUGAUAUACACACACUAUAGAUAAGGUAAUGAUAAAAGAUAGUAUUAGAUAUGAUCCAAAAUAUUCUUAUAGACGGACACAAAUGGAAUGAAAUAUAUGAUGGUAUUACUUUCUACGGUUUGGAUUGAUAAAAGAAUAAGGAUGAAAAAUAUAAUGGAGAUUGGAGAAAUUUAUGAUUCCCUCCUAAAUUUGAGAGAAAUGAAAUGGACUGAGAAUUUUGUUUCAUUCCAAAAUGGAGAAAUGAACUACUCACAAAUAUGCCAGAGGCACCUAGUGCCAAUGCCUUGAAGACAUCAGUUCCACGGCGAACUCCACCAUCCAGAAAUACAGGAAGACGACCUUCAGCAGCUUUGACAACCUAAGUUUCCACAAAAGAAAUGCAUAUAACAGUUUAAAAUGAGUGUGUUGAAGUUUCAUGGUGACUAAGAUGGUUACUUAAGUUGAUGUACCUCUUCUAAUGCUGAUAUGGUGGCUGGAACAUAGUCAAGUUGUCUAGCUCCAUGGUUGGACACUAUAAUUCCAGCUGCACCACUUUGUAUAGCUAUCCUUGCUGCCAUGUUCAAGAGAAGGUAUUAGUAAAAUAUUGAAAGAGGAUGAACACAUGAAUACAGCUUUGGUUAUCCUUACUGUCCUCAGCAGUCAGCACACCCUUCACCAGAAUUGGGAGAGAGGUGAUUGUUUGGAGCCACUUCACAUCCUACAGCGUUCAGAAUGAUUAUUUGGAUGGACUCUAUUCAGUUGAGCCUUCUAUGCUCCAAAGUAUACACAAAAAGUUAUGAAAACAAAUGUAAACUAUGGGAAAGUUGAACUCAUUACUCUCCUCUGAAGGAUUCCAGAAUGCACUUGUAGUUUUUUUCUGAGUUCAGAUUGCAAGUAACUUAUGAAUCAAAUCAAUGAAGUGGGCAAUGUGCCACUUGAGUUUUAUGCAAUGCAGUAUUAACAAAUUUUACUCUGUCAACCAGUUAGAAAUCAUUAUGAGUACGACUUAUAAAAUAACUGUAGUAGAAGUGAUCAACAAUUUAUGAUUAGCUAACAAUAUAUUAUUUUUUAUACUAUCUGUAUUUUGUAUAUUAAAUUCAUUUUACUUUAAUAAAUUCUUCUCUACUAUAGGAAUAGGAUAAUAAUUACCAAGAAGAAAACAAAAUGCCCUUUUGAUUAUGUAACAUACCUUCCAACUUAGAGUGCGAUCAAUUUGACCAGAAACAUAUGAAGCAAGUCCAGAGUCAUUUGCCUGAAAGGAUCAAGACAAAAAUUCAAUUAGUGAUAAAGGCAAGGAAAUUAGCCAGCAGAAAUAAUUCUGUGAUAACUAAUCUUACUUUGUCCAUCUUUCCAAGGUCCAAUCCUUCAAAGUUCUUCAAUGUCAAAAAUGGUGGCAGUGUGAAUCUGUGAGAUACGUUUUAGGACUAAUUUUAGUUCCAACGAUUAAAGUUGAAACUCAAAGAAAAGCUACUCAUAUCCAUUGAGAAAUUUAUAUACAUAACAAGGUUGAAGUGGAAGAGUUGUACCUGUUCUUGAUAUCAGCUUCUCUGCGUCCUAGUAUUGGAGUAUCAACUGUAAGGGCAAUGGCUUUGAAUCCAGCCCUUUCAGCUCUUCUCACAAGCUGAGCAACCACAUUCCUGUCCUUGUACACCUAAAGAAAAGGAACAAAUCAUGAAUGAAAAUUCAAAUAAACAGUGAAAUGGAACUGAGUGAAAAUUUUGAAGCUUACAUAUAGCUGGAAAAAGCGAAUGCCAGGUCCUGUUGAAGCCACCUCUUCAACACUUGAAGUGGCCCACGAGGACAAAGUCUGAAAGAACCAAAAUGUUACUCAUCAAUAAAGAACACAGAGCUCAAUGGACAUGCAUUGGUAAACAACAAAUUUGCAAGCAUACAAUCUUUUGAAGUUAAUUGGAGUGUCUAUGAGUGAAAUAUUGUGUGAAGCAACAAACAAAUUUACCAUGUACAACGAAAAUAUAACAGAUUCUCAGCAAUUCCACCAAUUGAAUUGAAUCAUUCAUAAAGAAGGGAUUUUUGUCACUAGUGAUUGUAAAUUUCUUUUUGCAAAGCAAUUUGUCCGGAAUAGAUGGUGAUCAAUCAAGUGAAGAACUACUAUAUGAAUAUAAACAUAAAAGAAAAGUACCAUGAUUGUUCCAGCUGCAGAGGCAGCUCUUGCUGUGGCAUAUUCUCCUGCAUAAGAAAAAAAUAUGUCAUCCAACAUAAAUCCAGCUCUAGGUAAUUGUUUUAGUGGUGCUUGCAAAGGGUGUUAGAAUUAAACUAUUCAUAUAAAAAAAAUGUCAACACAUUUAAAUUUCUUGCUACAACCCUAUUAUUUUAGUAUUCCCAAUAAAAAAUGUCACAGAUUUUGUUAUCCAUUUAUCAGAACUACAUGAUAAGAAUUUUCGCAGAAUUACUGAUGACAAUCAAAUUUGACUAACAAAUAGAGUCACAUAUCAGAACUAUGAAACAUGUGAUGGUUAUGCAAGACAUUAAUUGGGGGGCACUACAUGUCUGAUGUGUCAUUGACCUAUAUAUCUGACGAAACAAUGAAGGCUUAAGAAAAUGUAAAAAUUGUUUCUUAGAUAAAACUUCUGAAGUAGUAAAAAUGACAGAAGUCUUUUGUUUAGUCAAUCAGAUUCUCACUUUCUCUGGCAUGAGUUAUAUUUAGUGAGUGAGUGUGAAUGAAAGUUGUUUAGUUCAAGUUCAAGGAUUUUAUCUUGCUGAAAUUGAUUAGGAAAAGAUGUGUCCUUAAAGCAAAAAAAAGUAAUUAGAAAGUAUGGCAUGAUCUUAGUCUUUCCUUUUGGCACAAUACACACUAACCACAACUGAAAAUUUACUUCAAGAAAAUGUAAAGGAAAAACAAUUAUACCCUCGGGAUGAGCCAUUUUCUGAAAGGCUGUUGGGGCAAUCAUGAUUGGCAUGGAUAUUUUGAAGCCCAAGACAGUAGUUGUGAUGUCUAUCUUGCUCACAUCGAUAAGAAUACGAGGCCGAAACCUGUAUGUAUAUUUUUCAUUCAUAUUUUCACCAUGUCAAUAUUGCUUGUAUUAUGAAAUGUCAAAGGAACAAAAUUAAUCAUUAUAGUUUCGAAAUUAACUACUGUAAAAAAUAUAAAUCUUACAAAAUUCUGGAAAAGGCAUUUCUGUUCUCUUGCAGAGUCCACUGAUCCUCUGCACCAGAUGCGUAGUAGUCAAACGCCAUCUUUGGUAAUUUCUGCUUUGCAAUAGCCUCAUACUCACUGACAUUGGUGACCUCCAUUUUCAGCACUGCUUGUUGAUGUUACCCUUCAGGAAUUCUAAUAUACAUGUAUAUAUAUUCAGCUAUUAGUUUUUUCAUCACAAUAUAUGGCUAUAAACGUUUGAGGUAUCCCAAUGAACUAUGGGUUGGUAUAGGAAGACAACUACUAUGCCAACCCAAAACUUUGGAAUAAUAUUAAUAGUUAAUUUUGAGGCAAAUUUCAGCUGAGAAAAUUUUCAAAUAAACAAAUAACUGGAUGCUGGAAAAUAUUUCCUAGAUUUUGGAUUAGGAGAAAAAUAAACAUUUUGGAUGCACAAUAUGGGAAAAAGUUACAUAAUGAAAAACUCUUUCCCAAGAAAAUCAAAGCUACAUGCUACGAUUUUGAACUAAGAAUGCUCCCCAUCACUUACAUGGCUGAAGCCUUCUAAAAACUCUACAAAAGCAUGGUACUAUUUAAAAGGGAAGAACAACAUGUCUAUGUAAAAAGGAGUAACAACAAAAAACAGAUGGAAAAAGAUUGAUGCUAUGAGCUAUCCCAUCACAAAACUUGGUUCAGCAAGUGCGCCUUAACUCAUGCAUAAAAUCAGUUUGGCAAACACAACCAGAAUUGAAAUGAUAGCAUAGACAUAACACAAACACUACUAUUCAAUCUUCAUUUCUGCUAGAGUCUGUCUAAGAAAGAAGCAUGGUUAUAAAGGCCACAUGAAGUGAUGACAUGUUGAGCAUGGAAACAACUACGUAACUGAUGAGAAACAAGAGCAGACCUAUGUGUGCAUGCAGAGGAAGCAAUGGAGAGAAACUCCUAGUGAGGAAUAGAAACAGAAGGAAGUGAAAAAUAGGAAGGGUUCAUAAGUACAUGGUGGAAUAGAGACAAAGUUAGAUGGCCCUCAUAUUUGUUGUAACGUGUAUAGUUUCAAACGAAGGAGAAUUGGAAUUUUCAAGUGGAUGAGCUUUUGGAGGUGAGUAUUAUUUUGAGCCAAAUCUCAUCAACAAAGUGAGGUGGUUCUCAGCCACAAACGCCUUGUGUGUUUCACAGCACUCUUUCUUUCUCCAUUAUCAUUUCCAUCUCUAAAUUCGAAAAAGAUAAAUAACCCAAAAAUAGUGAGAAACUGUUUAUUUGAUCCUAUCUCAUAUACGUUUGAAGUCAUUGAAACAGAAGAAUAAUACUCUUCAUGAGUGGUACAAGUGGGUUGGGGCAUUGCCUAGAGAUAAUCUAAAAUAUGCAGUCUUGUGUAUAAUCUCACUAAGAAAAUGUGUGACAUCACUUAUCCGUUUUAUUUAUCUUUUUUGAAAAAUGAUACUUUCUGAACUACAUAUUAAAAAAAAAACAUUUUACAACUUUUCAAAAAAUUUUCAUCUUCCAUGUGUUUACAUUUCCGUAAAAAAUUAUUUCUCCUUCUAGUUUUAAUAAUUAUAAUAUGCAGCAAUUACUUGGGUUGUCAAACAUGUCACUAUUCAGAAAAAUUACAUAGAUAUUUUAGUAGGAGAAAAAUAUUAUUUUUACAACUUCAUAGUAAAAUUAUUCGAAAAAUAUUAUUUUGACAACUUAGUAAAACUACCCGUUUAUAAUCUUUCAAAAUUUCUCAAUCUCCUUAGAUGGACCACAUUUCACUAAAAAUUUAUAUUUCCCACAUAUACACUUAUAUGAAACAACUUACUAUUGGGUUCUCAAUUUAUCAAAACUCUAUCCUCCACCUUUUAAAGGUUUUAGUGGCUUGUUAUUAUAAUAAGUGAUUUAAAAAUAAGACUGGUAUGAAUUAGGUUUAAUUCACUUUACAAAAUAUUGAAAAUUACUUUCUUACAAAAUAUUGAAAAUUACUUUCUUACUUAUAUGUUAUUUGAGUUAUAUUACUAUUUGUUGUUGCGAAAUUUCCUACACACUUUUCAGACUUACAUGUAAAUUUUGUAAGAGAAAAUAUUUGGAUAUGAAUGAAUAAUAGUCUAAUAUCAAAUGAUCUAAUAGUAUAUUAUUAAUGCCUUCUUUAGCUGUUAAGAUAAUGUUUUGAUAUAUAAAUACGUGAUGACCAAAUUUUACUUACAACAAUUCAGCCACAUAUUUCAAUUACAUCCAAUUUUUUUGGUUAAAUUGUAUCACUUUCUUUUUCGGAAUUGGUUCAUCAGCAAGUUACGGCUUGGAGUGUGUUGGAAGAUAAGUUAGUCACUAAGGCUAAUUUUGAAAAGCGAGGGAUCACAGUAAUAAGUUUUAUGUGUAGUCUUUGUGGGGUUGAGGAGGAGACUAGUACCCAUUUGUUUUUUGAGUGUAGAUUUGCAUGGUUGUUGUGGAACCAUUGUUACGUAUGGUUGGGGGUGCAGAGUACAUUUCACAACGUUCCACUGCUAAACUUCUCUCAGUUUAGGUUGUGUAACGUGUCUGCUUCGGUAAAUGAGGUUUGGGGAGUGAUUUGGAUCGCACUAGUCAACGAGGUUUGGAAGCAUAGAAACAGGGUAAUAUUUAAAGGGGGUGUAGUGGAUGCUAUGAAGCCCAGACACGGAUACGGGUACGGAUACGACACAGACAUGAAAAUACGGCUAAAUUGAAAAUUAUAGGACACGGGACACGGCUAUGUAUAAAUUAAAAUGUAGUAAUAUAUUUUGUUAUAUGAAAAAAAUCAAGAAAAAUAUUUAUAAGAAUGGUAUAAAAAAAGAUGUAUUUGUAAACCAUAAUGUUUAACUUAUACAUUUAUUCAUUUUCAUUAAAAAAUACAAUUUCUAAUUCUGGUUCAUCAAGAUAAGCUAACAAUAUCGAGAAAUCCAGUCAUCUCCUGUAAUAUCCCAUAAUUUAGUCACCACUUUACGCCUUCUACUUGAGUUCACCAAUGCUCUGUUACUGGUUCUAACUCAUAUUUAUAGAAUUUAUUUUUCAAAUUAUAAAUUUUUUUAAGGAAAAAAUAUAUUAUUUAUUCUUAAUUUCCUUUUUUAUUUCUGGAUUUUCUUAAGAUUUUUAUAUAUAUUUUUAUUUAAAUGAUUUGUUUAAGAUUUUAUGAUUUUAUUUGAGAUUUUAGUUAAGAUUUUCUGUGAAAUAAAAGUUUUAUUUGAGAUUUUAGUUAAGAUUUUCUGAAAUAAGAGUUUUAUUAGAGAUUUUAGUUAAGAUUUACUCUGAAAUAAGAGUUUUAUUUGAGAUUUUAGUUAAGAUUUUCUGUGAAAUAAGGGUUUACAGAGUGAACCGCGUCCCUCCGUGUCCAAGGAGUGGACCGUGUCUCCUCCGACGUGUCCAGGAAGAAGGCCGUAUCUGGCCCAUACAGCUGCGUUCGACACCGUGUCAUGCACGCACCCGCCGCGUAUCCGCGUCGCCGGCAUGUCGGAAGUGCAAACAACUCGAUUUUGGCCGUAUCCGAGCUUCACAAAGUGGAUGUAGUGGAAGUUUUUGCUUUGGUACAAUUAAAGGCUUGGACAUGAGUCACAUCUAAGUCACAUUCUGCGUUUUUUUUUUCUUUUUUGAUUGGUGUCUUGACCCUUUGGUUUGUAUGGAGAUGGUCUCAUGAUGUACUCUUUUUAGUUGUAGGCUUGAGUACCUUAGUGAUUCUCUCUGGGGUCAGCUAGGUGUAUUAUGUUAGGCAUUUUUGGGAGUUUGCCUAACAAGAAAGGUUAAAGAUUGUGUUUAUGUAUAAAAGUUGGAUCACUCCUCAAGUGAUUCAUAUUUAUUCAUUGUUUAUUGUCAAUAAAAAAAAAAUCUGCAGUUGCAAUUUGAACCCGUGAAAUUUUUAUUUAACACAUUUACCCCUAAUAUAUUAACAUAAAACAAAAAAAAAAAUUAAAGGUGAAAGAUCUCGUGUAGUUAUUUUCAAACCACGGAGUCCUGAAUCCCUUUUUUGUCUUAUGUGUUUGUCUCUUUUACUUUUCCAUUUACUUUUAAAAAGUUUAACAUAAAAAUCUCGUAUUUUUUUUAAAUAGUUGUAUUCAUUUAAAAAAAUUAAUGUAGUCAAAUGGACUUACAUAUAAAUUUAAUCAAUCAACAUUUUGUUAAUCCCAAUAAAACUAGAUUCAGAUUAUUUAAAUAAAGUAUCACUUGUUAUACAUAAAAACGUUGUCCGAUAAAAUUAAAGAACUGUUCAUUUAACCGAAAUAAAUAUUUUUUUUUAUGUUUGUUUUAAUUUAAUAAAAAUAAUAAUAUAAAAAUAGGGUUAUAAAACCAAUAUCAAGAUAUGGAAAGCUGUUAAAAAAUGAUCAUGCUUAUACCUUAUAUGAUUGUAUUUUCCAACCCUUGAUAUAUUUAGAAUACACUUAGAUCAAUAGAGUGUAAUUAAAUAAAAUGACACCAACUUUUAUUAUUUAAAUUGUUUAAAAUAAGAUCAAAUAAGAUAGAUUUUAUUUUAUUUCAUUCAAUUUACUUUUGAAUGGAAAGUAUCUGAUCAUAAAUAUUCCCAACAUAAAAUAAUAAUAAUUUAAUUACAUUUAGAAAAAAUUCCGCUUAUCUUUCCCAAUGUUAUGCUAAAUGAUGUUCACCCCCUCUAAUUUUAAAAUAGUCUCUAUCUCUCAUAUUUUUUUAUUUAUUUAAUAACAUUAAUUUUUUAUAUUUUUAAUAAAGUGACAGUCAUCUUUUUUUAUUUUAAUAAAAGAGUACUACAUUAAGUAAAGUUUAAUAAAUAAUUAUAAAAGUAAAAAGUAUAACAAAAAUGAAUAUUUAUUUUACAAUUAGAUAAAAUGUGAGUGCUAUUUAAUAAAACCUUAGAGAAAUUUAAGUCCAAUUUCCCAUAUACUUUUAUUGCAUUGCAAUGACUUUAGAUUUUGAAACAUGGCAAGGAUUACAAGAACCUACCUUAAGCCUCUAUUUGGAUGGAUCGAAAGACUUUGCAAGAGGAUUGAAGUGAUUUGUGCAUUUUGUGUGUGUUUCCUUGGUGUAUGUGAAGAAUGUGUUUUUGCAAAUUAAAAACAGCUUCACUAUAGUAACUCAUAAUGAAUUUUAAUAAAUCAAAAUAAUAAUAUUAAUAACAAUGAAAAAUAAUAUUAACAAUAAUAAAUAAAAUAGCUUUUUCUUCAUUUAUUUUUUUAACUAGAUAAUUUUUUUCACACUCAAUUCUUACUCAAUUCUUACAUGUAUUUUUCCUUUCUUUUCACUUAUAUGAGAGUAAGAAGAUGUUUUUUAUGAUUAAUUAAAAAAAUUUAUUUUUUAUUUUUAUAAUCAUAAUAAAAAUUUAUAUAAUAAAUUUAAGAUUUUAAAAAAUUACUUUUUAAAAUUAUGUUAGAACCGAAUUAAAAUUUUCAAAAAUUUAACAAAUAUUUUUUAAAUUAAUCAUUUAGUGUCUUACAAAUUUCAUCAUUUAUCAUUGUUGGACACUUAUAUUAUACUAUACACUCUUUUCCUAUCUGUAGCACAUAAAAUCGCAAUAAAUUGAUAAAAGCUCUUUUGGGAUAGACAAGUGAACUAUGCAUGCAGGCAUCACGAAAAGUACCACAAAAUCAGGCUGAGCCCACUCCAAAAUUCGAUGAAUAAUAAUGAGUGAGGUGACCCACUAACACCCUCUAUAAGUUUCAAUUCAGGGGCAGCUUUCUUUUUCAGUGCAUAUAAUAUUAAUGUACUUUAAAAUUUUUAAAACAAUAAUUUAGGUCUUCCUCUCCUAUCGUAUUUGAGUUGGAUGAUGAUUGGUAUUUAACUUUUUUUUUCAUAUUUUUAAGAUAUUAGAUAAAUUUUCCUUUUUCUUGAAUAUUUACUUUAUAAAUUAUUAGAAAGACUUGUACAAGGAUAUAUCAUUAAGGUAAAAGUAAUUUUGCCUAAAAUUUUAAAUUCUCCUGUCAUUCCUUUGAAAUUUUGAAUGCUGAUACAUACUGGGUUUGUCCUGAAAUUUUGCCUUCUAUUGGUCUAAGUCUCCUGCCAACCAUGUGUUUGUAAAAUUGCCUCUGAGGGAAAAAAAAGGCAAAAGGGUACUUGAAAGUGGGGGUUACGAGGAGGAUAGGUUGUUGUCGUACAAGGUUGUAUGCUCAUGGCAAAUAGUAGCAUAAACUUGGUGCUUCAUCAGGGGUCAAUGUUGCCCCCUGAGCUUCCUGUAGCUGCUCUACUGGGACCUUCAUGCUUUCAUUCGCUUUCUUCAACUUGGGCUAUUUCCAAUGGAGCCAUUAAUGUCUCACCUCAAAGGUUGAACUGCAGUGCAACUUGGUGUUAUUGCUUCAGUUUCAGGAAAUGUAGACGCAAAUGGAAACUGCUUGAAAGAAGUUGCUCCACCAGUGAGUUUGUUGUUGCCAGUGAUAAAAACUAUGGCAAUAAGCAGGUUGUUAAUCUCACUCCCCGCCUCUACGACUAUGUCCUAAAAAAUGUUCGAGAGCCAGAGGUGAGGACUAAGGAACAUACUGUUUUGCUUCAUGCGUUGUUUUAAUAAGAAAAAAAAUUUGGGGGAGGGGGAGGGUAUCUGAAUUCUGCUGUCAACUGUGAAAAACUGUGUGUAUUAAAUUGCCCUUCGUGCUUAUUGUAAAGUGACUGCACUUCAGAUUCUAAGGCAAUUGCGGCAGGAGACGGCCUCUAUGCGUGGAAGUCAAAUGCAGGUGUCUCCAAUUAUUUCAUUCUUAUGCAAUUUUGCUUGCACUGUUUAGUAAUAGAAUUGUUAAUAUUGACUUUAUGCUUGUGUAUUUUAUCUUCACUAUCAAGCAGGGGUUUCUACUGCACAUUUGGUUUUAUGAAAGUGAGUAGCAUUAUUGUACCAUUUAUUCAUUAUGUGUUUCUAUUGAUGCUGUAGACAAUUAAUCAUUUCUGUUGACCAUAUUGCUCUGCGCAUCCUUGAAUAAGAACACAUAAUGAAUAAUAGGUAGAAUCAUUUUGAAUCCUUGAUCCCAAACAUACUGGUAUGUUUGUAAUUAUGAAUAUUCAAAUUAUGUUCCUUUAAAGCUUAUAGCUCGGCAAUCUAAUAAACAAGAUUUGGUUAUUUCAACACUUCUAGAGUUAGUUUAUGUUAUGAAAUGAACAUGAUUGACCUACGUCUCGUAACUGGGAAAUAAAUCCAAUUUAACAAUUUUUGUUGAAGACUGAGUGGCUUCUUAUUUAGGGACACAUAAUGGUCUUUGAAUGUUAGCUUUGUGCUACUAGUGUUUUUGUAUCCUGUCUGGUAUCAAGUUUAAAUUUGCGAAAUUUGAUGGGGCAAGUAAAGAAUUGUGCUGGAAAGAAUGUACAGUAGUCUCACUUGUCUUCUCUAUCUUGUCUGUCAUGUUUCACAUUGUAAUUUCACUUGAUUAGCAAGAAGUAAAAUGUUGACAAUGCUUUUAGGUCUCCCCUGAUCAGGCACAGCUGCUUGCAAUGCUUGUGCAGAUUCUUGGAGCAGAACGGUGUAUUGAAGUUGGUGUUUAUACUGUAUGUACUUCAUUCUUUACACACCAUGCACUAGUUUUCUUCAUGUUACAUAGUAGAGGAUGCCACUUCACUUCCAUUAUGUAAUAAGUUAUUAUAUUAUUAAUUUGAUCCAGGGAUACUCUUCACUAGCCAUAGCAUUAGUUCUGCCAGAAUCAGGUCAUUUAGUUGCCUGUGAAAGAGAUGCCAAAUCUCUUGAUGUUGCCAAGAAGUAUUAUCAGCUAGCUGGUGUUUCACAUAAGGUAUAUAUGCUACACAUUUGCUUUUGAUUUGAAAAGGGUUCAAAAUUUUUGUUUAUCUCUUUUGAAUUAUGGGCACUUUUUAUAUUAUAUUUAUGUACUGCCUGCAUUUCCUGAUGGCUUUACAUAACUGGUUCUAGGUGGAUGUAAAACUUGGACUUGCAAUGGAUUCCCUAGAAUCUUUAAUUCUGAAUGGUGAAGCAGGAAGGUAUGUGGAUUUUUCAUUUUCAACAUCACUAUGAUAUAUGAUUUGAAAUUUCACAUUCUGUUGCUGUGGGUAGGAGCUCUUCCACAUUUGCUAUUUUCUCUUUAAAUAGUUAUUGUUAAUCAAGGAUCCUGAGUAUAUGAUAUGAACAUUGUCAAAGGAAAAGCAAGUAAAAUAGAAUUUAAGCGAUAUUACCUUUUCAUGCAGCUAUGAUUUUGCAUUUAUUGAUGCCGAGAAAAGAAUGAACGAGAAAUAUUUUGAACUGCUACUACAGCUGGUAAGAACAUAAUAAAAACCGGUCAAAGGCAUUCAGAUAUUCUUAUGCUUCUUAAUCACAAGAUCUUUCAUAAUCUUUCUUAUUGGGUUCCUAUGAACUGUGUUAUACUGAUGCACUGAAUAAUUUAUUGUUGCAGGUGAGGGUUGGAGGUCUUAUUGUAAUUGAUAAUGUCCUUUGGCAUGGAAAAGUUGCUGACCCACUGGUGAAUAAAUUCUUCUGUGAUCUCCUUUUUUUCCAGUUAAGUGAACCUGAUUUAUUGUACUAUUUGCAGGUACAUGACCCUAAAACUAUCAGCAUUAGAAAUUUUAACCAAAAGUUAAUGGAAGAUGAGCGUGUAAACAUCAGUAUGGUAGGUUUAUACCAUAUUUUUUUAAAUAUUAAUACACUUGCAGAGAAAAUCUGCAAGUUAAUUUAUAAUUGGUUAACUUUUUUUUGGAGAAUCUCAGGUACCAAUCGGAGACGGGAUGACGAUCUGCCGAAAAGGCUGACCCAUUUUUUAGUAAUUUUUAAGUUCUAUGCAAUUGAACUUACACCCCUUAGGGGUAGUUCUUCUGUGAGAUCUGAGGAAAGACAAUUGUAUAAUAAGCACAAAAUUGAUUUGACGUUCUUAAAACUUUUGGAGUUGCAAUGCCCAUUCUCUUGGCAAGGAUCUGAAAGAAUACUGAUGAAUAUCAUUUUGAUUCCAAAGUGAAUAUGCUAAACUAGAUUAUAUGAUCUUCUCUACCACAAUUUUUGUACGCACCUAAGGUAGCAGCACCACCACAUUAGCAUGUACUUUAGUUACCUAUUACUAGCACAUUAAUUAACUCAUUCUUUCAAAAACAAUUUACUCAAUUGAUUUUUUUAAAUUAUAAAGUCAAGAGAGUAGCACUCCAUUUCACUUAUGAUUUCAUUAUUUCAAUAAAUUUUUUGACAAGUUAUUUCAAUAAAUUUUAAAUAAUAAUGACCAUGUUAAAAAAUGUUACUUAUUUCAUUGUAUAAGUGAAUAUAUUUGAGAAUAAAUGCUUUCAUGUUGUACUAGACCAGAGCGGUCAGGACUCAGUGCUCAGUGGUCGGAUCUCGGUGCAUGGCACAGGUAGGUCAGCUCGGCUGUUAGGCCAGUAUAAUGGGUCAUGUGAUUGGACCCUGGUUGGACAAGUAAACCCGUUUUGCUAUAAUUAAGGUAACCUUUUGUACGUAAAGGCAAGGUGCUUAACAAAGGAUAUUUGUGGACCUAAGGGUGCACUUAGUACGUAUGGGGUCUAGGUGAAGUAAAUGUUUUCUUUUAAACCUAAGCCCAUGUGUUUUAGGGCACGUAGUGGUUAGGUUGCAUGUAUAAUGAAAGAUAACGUAGCACCAUGAGUAGGGUGCCCACGUAAGCAAAAUGGAUCCCUGAUAUCGGCACAUGAGUUGGUGUCCUAGUGGUUAUUCUGUUAUUAUUUUAUGCACUCCUUGGAGACAAAAUUCUCUUAUGUUGUAGCACCUUGAGAGAAGGUGCCCUUGAACAGAAUGUGUUUCUCUUGUUGAGUAUGGUUUCAGUUGAGAUUAGAUUCUCAUGAUGGAAAGUUGUUACAAAAGGUAAGCUAUAAAAGGAGUUUGAGAUCCCAAGUAAAGGUACGUUGUUUCUAAGACUUAAACUGAAUACUUCUUAAAUUAUAGUAAGCCCUUUACUGACUUGAUCAUCGGAGUGCAAUCAACAGGUAGGGUCCCCUCUGUCUCAAUGGAGCUAUGUUCCAGAGCAGCAAGAGAUAUGACGAAUUCGUGAAGAGACAGACGGAGUUAGAACUUGUCAUCAGAGUCAACAGGCAAGAACACAUGUAUAUAAGAAAUAAUCUUCACAAUACUUCUACUUUAUAGUUGUCAAUUGUAGUUUUCAAUAGUUCAUCAUUCAAGUGUCAUGACAUGUAGCGAGUUCCCACUAUAGAUAUGUAAAGAUAAGGGCAUCCAUAUAGUUUAACUAAAAAAAACUACCUUUUCCACGCAUUUGGUUAGAUUUUGAGAGAUUAGAAAUAUAGAAAAAUCAACAUUUUUUCUUUAAUAGAAUAAAAUAACUAUAUAAUAUCGUACUAUAAUUAAUUGAUUGAUGGUAUAUUGAUAGGAUAUGUUUUUCUUAUCUUUUGUUUAUUAUGAUUUUUUUUUACUUUCACAUUAUUUCUCAUAUAUGAUAAUUGUUAUUAUUAUCAUUAUCAUUGAUGUCAUUAUUGAUAUACUAUUGUUAUUAUUGUUAUCACUUUUACUAUUGCUUUUUAAGUCACCACCACUCUCAUAUUCAUCAUCUUCAAUAUUAUCAUUAUUCCUAAUAUCAAACUUCUACUCUUAGUCCAAAAGUUAUAACUAAUAGUCAUAAUACAAAUUUUUCCACUUAAUAAUAUAACAACUUAAACACUAUUAAUGUUAUUACCAUUAUGGUCAUCGAUAUUAUCAUUGUUAUUAUCAUCUUAUUAUUGUUGUUGUCAUCACUAUUGUUAUAAUUAUAUAAGUAAGGAGCUCUUCAUACUAUUAUUCUUAUUACCAUUAUUGACAUCAAUAUUAUCAUUGUUAUUAUCAUCUUGCUAUUGUUGUUUUCAUCACUAUUGUUAUAAUUAUAGAAAUAAGGAAUUGAUAAAAUAUAAUCAAGAAUAUCAAAGUUAUAUAUGUAUUAUUAGAAACAUUUUUAUUUAUUCCUAUGUCACAUUUUUAUUAUUAAAGGAUAUCAAGUCUUCUCUAUUUAUUGUGUUAUUAUUUUUCUCAAUAUAAAUAGGGCACAUAUGAUGUCUUAAAAACACACAUUUUCAUCUUAAUGUUGCUCUUAUUUCCUUGAGUUUAACAAGGUAUCUAUAGCCUUUUUCAAAAUUGCGUUGUCUAGGUCCACUUUUACUAUUAUGACGCCCUCUCCUAAAGUUUUUUCACACUAGAUUUUUAGGAAAAAGUAUCUUUCAAGACUAACCUCUAUAAUAAAUUCUCCCAUCUUUUCUUAUCAUAUUAUUAGUAUUGAGAAGAUGGAUGAGGCUAACUAUUCCACUGUAGAGUCAUUUAUUGCUCUUAUAUUCUUGAUUGAUCCAUCUCUAAAACCAUUUAAAGACUUUAUCAAAGGGUGUGUGACACACCAAUCAACUAAUAACAUUGCUUCAAUGACCCUUAUAUGGUAAGCAACUUGUCUCAAUCAACUUUUCUUGAUCCCAAGUUAUUGAUUUUGGUGCAACUGAUCACAUAUCUAGUAAUCGUUUUCUUUUCUCUCCUUUUACUAAAGAUGCCCAUUUGUUUUUUUUUUAUAACUGUUGUCAAUGGUUAACGAACACAAGCUUAUGACAUUGGUACUACCCAACCCCUCUCAUCCCUUAUUGUUGACUUGUUCUUUAUGUCCUUAAUUACCCUUUUAAUUUAUUGUCUCUUGUCUGAUUGACCUAAUCCCAUGAUAUUAUCCUCACCUUCACUAGAAAUAAUGUUACUUUUGGGAUUAGAUAUUUGGGUCAGAUGAUUGGCAUCGAAUGUGAGUCAUAUGUCAUUUUCUAUCUCUAUUCAUUACUAUUAAUAUGUGCAUGAACAAUCUCUCCAUUGAGAAUCCAUUCUCAACUAGGAAAUAUAGGGUUAACAAAAUUGCAGAAGAUGAAGUCAAGUUUAAAACAUUUUUCUACUUUGGAUAUGAGUCAUGUCAAUUAGGAAAACAUGUUUCUCACUUUUUUCCUGAUAAUCUUAAUAAACAAGCAUUGUCUCAUUUUCCUUUAGUUCACUUUGAUAUUUAGGGUCCUUCCUAUAUUGUUACUUCUUUUGGUUUGAAAUAUUUCGUUAGCUUUAUUGAUGAUUAUUUGAUAUGUACUUCAAUUUGGUUAAUAAAAAGUCGAUUAAAAGUGUUUUCUAUAUGAUUAAAAGUUUUUAAUGAAAUUUAAACACAAUAUGGUAUAUACAUAGAAGUUUUUUUGUAGUGACAACGUCCAUGAAUAUUCGUCUAACCCAUUUUAGCAAUUCAUAAAAUCUAAUGACAUCCUUCAUCAAACUUAAUAUCCACAUACUUCUCAACAAAAUGGAAUGGUUGAACAUAAAAAUGUGCAUCUUAUUGAAACUACUUGGAACUUCUUCUUUAUAGUCAUUUUUCUCACCAUUUUUGGGGGAUGCUUUCCUUACAACAUGUUAUCUCAUUAACCAAAUGUUGUUGUUUGUCUUUAAUGAUUGUGUGCCUCACUCCAUCCUUUUUUCUCAUUCCAUUCUAUACAUUCUUGCCCUAAUCAUUCAAAUGUGUCUUUGUGUGAUGGAAGAGCUCAAAGCAGAGAAGAUUUCAUUGCUAAUAAAUGGAGGUAAUGGCGGUGGACUAAGGUUUCCUAAGAGAGAGGUUUGACAAACACUCAAGGAAGAGGUUAGGAGAGUUGAAUUUAGGAGACUAUAAUUUUGAGUCGCAAUUUUCACAUCAGUUCAAUACUCAUUCCAAGUUAAAUUUACAAAGAGGGCCCCUCCUAUUUACAAGAGUGUGGUUUGAGUGUGGGAGAGGAAAAAGGAGGGAGAACUCAAAUUUGAAUUACCACAUGUGCUCCUAAAAAGGUGGCACAAAGAGUGUAUCAAGUGACACUUGUCCACUCAUGCUUUCCACACGUGCAUUCAUGUGCAAAGUUGAUGUGAGUUGAUUUUAGGACUGUUCAUUUUAUGGUGUGACACUUUACUUAGAUUGAAAUUUAAGAAAUUUAAGAGUGAAGACCUUAGGAAAAUCCUCACUGGACAUUAACUUAACCAAGUGAUUAAGUAGAUGUGAAGGUUCAUUUCACAGAGGCAAAAGGAAAAGACAAUUAUAAGGCGAAAAUGAUGCUAGAAGGUGCGAAAUUAAAGAACAAGGAAAAUAAACCAAAAUAGAAUUGCCGAAUGGAAAUAAGGAAAACCAAAACAAGAACAUGAUACAAAUAGUAAAAAUGGAAUAACAAUGGAAGAAUAGAUGAAGGAAUGAGAAAGCUUAUGUGAUGAAUUUGAGAAUUGGAACACGCCACUUGGAGUGUGAUUGGCCUCCAAGAUAAGUGAUGAUAGUCGCCACUUGAGAGCUCUCAAUACUCACAAGAUAAAACCUAAAUGCUAAGAGGAAUUCAAACCUCACUAAUACCUCACACAAUUCGUGCAGAGUAACUCUUCUUCUAUUAAUUUCAACUUGUCAAAUACACUAGGUAGGCCUACUAUUUAUAGAUGAAGGAGCCUUGGAGAACAAUCUAAAGGGAUAGGAUGGAAAAAGGGAAAAAAUGGGCAACUUUAGGGUUUGACUAAGUCAAACCCGCAUCCUAGGCUUGUCCUUCUAGAAACUAGGUCAAAAUGCCUUCCAAAAGAGCUAGGAACAAGCUAAAAUGCUACCCACACCCCAUAUUAUGCUAAAGGUACCUUAUUCUAGCCUAUAUUUGUUAUUUGGACCCCUAAAGUGAGCCCAAAAUUAUUUACAACAUUUUCUAAUCAUUAAGAAGACAAGCAGGAAGAACUUUAGAUGCUCUGGUCUUUGUCCAAUUCUCCCUUUGGUGAGGUCUCCACUUGUAUGUUGAGAUGACUUCUCAUAGUUUAAAGCAUCCUUGGUUAUCUCCUAGUGGGCUUUCCACACAUGCAUUCAUGUGCAAAGUGUAAACAUAUGUGCCUUUCUCCCUAUCUUAGACGUCCUAGGGUUUCUCUUUAGCUUAAGUGGACCCAAUAGAAACCCUAACUAGACUAAUCUAACCCUAAUCUACAUAAGGCCCAAAUACAAGGUCAAACAUCUACUCUACUUGACCCAAAUACAAGCUCAAAUGUCUUAUACUACUUGGCCCAAAUACAAGCUCAAAUGUUCUGUACUACUUGGCCUAAAUGUAAGACCCAAAAUGUCAUAUACUACUUUGUACAAUUUAUUACACAAUAUAGUUGACUUCUUCAAAGAUGAUCUUAGGUUCAAUAAGAGUUUUUGGAGGUCCAAUCUUCAUGCAAGCUCUUAGUUAGGGCUCUAGGUCUUCUGUCUCUUUAUUCUAUGAAUGUGGUGGUUGGAUAAUUUGUCAUUAUUGUGGGAUAUCAUCGCUCUCAAAACAAUAUUGAUGUUUCCCUUCUAAUCUUCAUUAGUAUUUUAUGUAUAAUGAUGUCUCUUUCUUUGAUUUUGUGUCAUAUUAUACAAUUUUUCAUUUGAAUGACGACAAAUGUAGUCACCUUCCCACCAUCAUCAAUCUUCCUUCAUCAACACCCGAUGACUCUACUAUAACCCAUGUUGUUUCUCUUGCACCCCUUUAGGUAAUUCAACAUGUUCAUGACCUAUUGAUAUUCUAAUAUAAGAUCCAUCUUUGACAAAUAAUGAUAAGGAGAGACCAUGCUUGAUCUUUCUCCGAAACUAUCUCUUGUACUAGAUCUCGUCUCAUCCAAAAAAAUGAUUUGAAUAUUGUUAUUAAAAAAGAAACAUGUUCUAUCUGUAAUCCUUCUCCCAAUUAUAGAAAUCUUAGUUAUCAUAGGCUCCCCCAUACAAGAUAUUUGUUAUUCCUCAUUAUCUUUUAUUCAUGUUAAGUCUCUAGGUGAAGAUUUAUCUCACAUAGAAUCGUGACAAACAAUGAUUAAUAAGAUAUUUGUCAUUUAAAGUACUAGUACUUGAUAAUUGGUUCCUCUUCUAGCUUACAAAUUGUCGCAACCAAGGUUACGUGGGAUGACGAAACAAAAAUUGGUUUUCGAAGGAAAUAAAGAUGGAGUCGCCACCAUAGUUUAUUAUGAAAAACUACGGAAAAACCAGAAAUGAUAGUUUACGAAACCAGAUUAGGGUUCAAGAGUCGGUUACGUGUAUGGAAGGUAUUAACACCCUACAACACCCAUUUGAAGACGAUACCUUUAAUUAAGUACAAGAAAUGAGUAUGGUUUUUUUAAAAAUGUUUAUUUUUCCAAAAAAAACAAAGAAACACAAUGCAAACAUAAAAAAAUAUUUUGAAAUUAUUUUAUUUAGGUCCGACAAGGAUUAACCUUUGUUCUACGCAUUUCCAUUCACAAUGAAAAAUUAGGGUCUAUGUAGCUCUAAAAGGUUAAAUUAUUUUGAAAAUGUUUGUGUCAGUGAGAGCUGGGCUUUUGAAAAAAAAACGAAAUGAAAGCGAAAUUUUGAAAAAGUGAAGCCGACAAGGAUUAACCUUGCUCCUACGUAUUUUUUUCAUAAUAGAAAAUGAGGGAUUGCGUAGUUCUACGCAUUAAAAGAUUAUUUUUAUUCAUUUUAUUUUUUAAAUUUAUAUUUCAUAUAUAUUUUUAAAAAUUUUAGAAAAUAAGAGUUGGUGGGUGUAUAAAUAAAAAGGAGGGUGUGAUGAAUAGCGAAAGUGUUGGGCCAGCUGAAUGGGUCAAAGCUUAUUUGGUAAGGGAGGUGAGGAUCUUAAAACAUGGUAGAAACAGUGAAAUUGCUAGGCCAGCGAAAUGGGCCUAGGCUUGUUUUGUAUAAGCGAUGCAGGUAUUAAAAGUGCGGUGUAAAUAGUAGAAAGUGCUGGGAAGUUUGAAAAGUACUUUGAAAAACAAGAUGGCCCAUCUUCAUGAAUAAAUUCCUCACACCAAAAGUGUGGGGACCCACUUCUUUUUCUCUCUCAAUUUGCUACGUUAAUUCUCCCUAUGCCGUUCAAUGCAUGCAAAUUAUUAAGGCUUCUUCUUCCUGCACCCCUACGUUUUUCUUCCUGCACCGUCAUAAUUUUCUAAAUCCCGAAAUUGCCCUUGACCUUAUUUGAAAAAGGGCACCGUGAUUACCGGAAAUUGGGAUCUGGGAGUGUGCUACGAAUUCAUCAAUCCGGAACUAAAUAAAUUUUUUUUCCGGAUGAGGGGGUGUUUUAGAAGCAAAUUUUGCAUAAGUUAUUGAUUUCCGGAUUGCUGAAUCCAGAAACCUAAUUCUGUUACGAAUUGGUGGAUCUGAAAUGUUUUUUUUUUUUAAUUAUGAAUUUCUGAAUCCAGAAUGCAUAUUUCUGUUACGAUUGGUGGAUUCAAAAUGAUUUUUUUUAAUGAUGAUUUUUUGAACGUGAAAUGCAUAUUUUGAUUUACGGAUUGGUGGAUCCGAAAUUUUACCGGAUUCCAUGAUUCAGAAUUUAAAAAAUAAAUAAAUACAGUUCAAGUGUAUUUUAGGGUUUUUAAAAAAUAAGAGGAAUAAUUUGGUCUUUGCAUAACAUUAUGUGGUGCAGGAAGAAAAAUGUAAGGGUGCAGAAAGAAACUACCAAUUAUUAACUCGCGGGCCCACGUGCUUGUAAACUCCCAACUUACCAAUAAAAUGAAACCGUGAGCCCCCAUCUUUUAUCAUUCACACCAAAUGAUAAGUGCACCACAGUGGCGUAAGCUGCACAGGGCACAAAGAUAGAAUAGAAUAGAACCAUAAUAAAGGCAAUCCACUUUGUUUUUUUACACCACACUACAAUUUUUUGAUAUUAUUAUUUUAAUAUUUUUACAUUAUUUAAUUAUAAAUUUACUCUUUAUUAUAUAUUUUUUAAAACUGUUCCAUCAAAAUAUGAAACUGAGAACACCUCUUGGUGAAGCAGCGUUUCAUGCACCCGUAGUCUCGUUCCUCUUGUUUCUUUUGUCUUCUUGGUAUUUUCCAGCUUUGGUUAGUCUCUUCACUUUGAGUUAGACGUAGGUCUCUGUCAGUGUAAUGGAUUCAGUUUCCCGCAGCUGGUGGUGGGUGAAGAUGCUGGGAGCAUUGAGUGUUGCAGCAGAAGGACGGAGCCAAGCACAAAUGGAAAAAUGAUGGCCAAGGUUCACGACUGGGGAGGAGAUUUGUGAGGAUAUGCGAUGAAAAUCAUUCGACUUCGAAACUUUCGGUUAAAAAGAUAGACGAAUAUCGAGACCCUUACUAAAGAUAUUGUAAAUUUUUUUUCUUCUUCUUAGCCUUGUAAAAACUAUAUAGAGUAGUUAGGAAGUUUUGAGUCUUGUAUUUUGUGACAAAGUAGAGAAAGAUGUAAAUAGAAAAAAAAGUAAAAUGUAAAAUAGUGAAAGAGAGGUACAAAUAAAAAUGUAGGCAAUAAAUGCAUGAGGUAGAUAAGAAAGGCAUGAUGCUCCACAUGUCUUCUCCUCAAUAGAGAGGAUUUGCAUCAAUAUGGUGGUGACACUUGUCACUCUCAUUUGAGAGGUUUUGAGAGACUUUCUUCUAUAAAUAAGAGUCUCUUGUACAUGAUUUUUAACUUUGAUUUGAGUAAUGAAAUGUUGUCCAAUUGAGACACUUUUACUUAUUCACAGUUCUAUCUUAAGUUGUCUUCUUGCUAGAUAAGUUUAUAGAUUACUUUUAGUAGCCUAACCUCACUUUAGAAACUAAGUGUUGGCCUAACCUCACUUAAAUCCAUAGUAAUUUUUUUUUUCAGCAAAGAUUUAAUUAAAUUAAAUUGGGGACACUUCAGGGGUGUCCCAACCCUUAUACAAAAACUAAAAAAUUGUACAGCUAUUUUAACUCCCAGACUUAACAAUACAAGCCUAGGCUUCCAAAAGAGAACAAACUCUUCAAGAAUCAAUGCUAACUCCCCUCAAACAUAUGCCCUCAAAUCUCCCUUCAAGAUGAAUACAGUUGCCCAACAUUUGCUUAAAAUGCACUCCUUCUUCCUAUGCCAUCCAACUUUAAAUUCUCGUGAAAAAGGGAUAUUUUAUACCCCAACUAUGAAGCUUUUCUACGGAUUUCAAGGCUCACUACUCAAAGCCAAAAAGCUACUUAAGAAGUUUGUCCCUGAGCUACAUCACCAAACUCAAAACUGCACACCAAAAAAUCAGCAUCCUAUUAUAAGCAUCUUAAAUUGGCUGCUACAAUGCACACAGAAAGUCUAACGCUUCUAGUAGUCCAAACCCUCCUAAAGAAUCAACAUUUUGCCAGUACUGAAAUGCCACAAAACCUUCAAAGCUUGCAUAUACGAAUAACCUUUGUGAUUCUACAUCAGUAACAAAAUUAUUAUUCUUUGAACUUCUACUUAAAUCUGCAUCCAGUUUUAUCUGCAUAAACAAUUCCACAAACAUCCCACUAAUUGAAGGCACUCUUUUACGCUGGAUGCAUAAAAUCUUCCAACCUCCUUCCACGAUCUUUGUUCACUUCGUGCUUCUUUUACAGGAUAGAUUCCCUGCUCCCCACCAUCUUAACCUGCACUAAGAAAACAACCUUCCCCACCAAUCAAACUAAUUCAAAGAGACAAAACAACCUAUACCCUUGACCUUGAGUAAUUGAUGCCAAUUUAUUGUAACAUCCAACCUUACUUACAAUAUGUAUAGAAGAUUGUAAUGACUCUUUUAAAUUACUUUCAUUAGAUUAUGAAAAAAAACUUACAAACUUAUGCACUUACCUUGUUACCAUACUAACACAAGUUAUAGGUGACAAAAUCCAAUCAGAAAAGGAGAAUAUAAUUUUCUUCUCUUUAUGUUUCAUCCAUACCCAUGAUUGUACUUGUGCCAUAGUAAAGAUUUCCUCUGCAUCUACCUUUGCUUGGUUAAAGAUGACCCUAUUUCUAUGCUUCCAUAUACUCCAUACUACUGAGACCCAAAGGCUUUUCCAUAACCUAUUACCUUCCUGAUUAAAGCAGAUGCAAGAAAAUUGUUCGAAAUGAUAAUUCAACUCAUUAUGGUUCACCGAACUAAUUCCCAUCCAGCUAAAACACAUAUUCCACAAUUUACUUGAUUCCCUACAUGAGAGGAGGAUAUGUGUCGUUGUCUCCUCUUCCCUUCCGCAUAAAACACAUAAAGUAUCCCCUAAUGUCACUCCCCUUUUAUGCAGGUUCUGUUUUGUCGCUAUCCUAUUCGAGAGAGCCCUCCACACGUAAAAUAGGGAUGAGGGCAUAACCUUCAGAUUCCAAAGAGACCCGAACACUAAUACCCCCCCGACCUGUGAUUUACUAACUUAUUAUAAGCAGAUUUUACCGAGAAAAUGUAUGAUGGAGGGUCGUUCCAUAUCCUUGAAUCCUCUUUACCUGGUUGUAAUGUCACCUGUGAUAUUAUAGACAAGAAAUCCUCUACCAUAGUCUUUUCUCAUUCGAACCAUUCUCUUCUCCAACUUAAUUUCCACUCCCACCCAUCUGCAUUCCAACUUCCACAACUUCCAAUAAGCUUGUCUUUCAACUCAGAGUUAUUGUACAAUCUCUUGUAUCUUCCUUUGAGUUGACCAUUAGCUAACCAUUCGUCUUCCCAAAAUUUGAUCUUCUCCCUUGAUCCUACUUCCCAAGUCAUAUUUUGAUUGAACCAAUUGUCACCUUGGUCAGAGAGACUUACUUUGACUAAAUCAUUCCACCAUCUAGAUGUAUACCUAUUUUUUUUCGGUACAGUUGAAUUCAACAGCCCCCUCGCUCCAUACUUUGAUUCUAAGACCUCCUUCCAAAGUCCACUCUCUGUAGAACACCUUCUCCAUAACCAUUUUGCCAAGAGUGCCUUAUUAAAAAAAUCAAUACGCUUGAUACCUAGACCUCUUUCCUCUUUCGCUUUACAGAUGUUCUCCCAACUAGUCCAAGCAAUUUUCUUCCCAUCCGUUCCCCACCCCCACAAGAACUUUUUCUGUAGUUUCGUUAUCUCCUUGCACACUCUGAUUGGUGCUUUAAAAAAGGAUAGAAAAAAUAGUGGUACGGCGUUGAUAACAAAUUUUAUAAGGCAGACUCUUCCUGCAAAUGACAAAUUUUUUCCCUUCCAUACAGAAAGUUUCUUUCUUAUCUUUGAUAAUACAGGCUCCCAGAAGGAACACCUGGAUGGGUUGCCACCUAUAGGUAAGCCUAAGUAUGUGAAGGGAAUAUCCAUUAGACUGCAGUGAAAUAUUGCCGAAUACAUUUUCACCUCAUACCUAUCUACUCCAAUUGCGCCAAUCUUGCUCUUGUAAAAGUUUACUUUUAGGCCCGAGCUUAAUUCAAAACAUCUUAAAAUAGCCUUAAUGCACUUGAUGUUCUGCACAUUAGGUUCACAUACAAAAAGGGUAUCAUCCGCAAAUUGUAGUAAAUUCACCUCCACCUUCUUAUCCCCUACUUUAAUACCCGAGAGCAGGUUUUUUCUUGUCGCUUGAUUUACUAACCCAGCUAAACCUUGUGCGACAAUCAGAAACAAAAACGGUGUCAUCGGAUCCCCCUGCCUAAGGCCUCUAGUAAUGAUUUUCAUCUCUUCCAAAUUUCUACAAUUCUUCAUGCUACCAUAGUAGUCCUCAUCAUCCAUAAAAGAUAUUUAAAUCAAAAAUAAUGAAAAAGUCUACAAAUAAAGAUAAAAGCUAGGGUUACAUCAAUAUGUGAUGUUGUUUAGGUUCAGGAAUGUCAAAGUGGACUUGUGAGGAUGUUUAAUUAAAAUUUAAAAAUGAUAUUAUAGUUGAGAGAAAAUUUAAAAAUUAUUUUAAAGAUAUAAAAUGUAAAUUUAUAAAUUUAUUCUUUUAUUGAAAAAUAUUUAAGUAAUGAAUUAUGAUUUUUUUAUGUGUAGAUUUAAGUUAAUUAAUUUUUUGUAAUAUUAUUCAUAAUUGUCAGUAUUUCUUAAUAAUAUUUUUUAAUUAUAAUAUAAAAUAAUUUUGUAUUAAAUUAAAAUAAUAUUUAUUAUUAUAUACAUUUGUUAUUUUAUAUAAUUAUAUAUAUAUAUAUAUAUCUUGUUGAUAUUAUAAUUUUAUUUUAUUAUUUUUAUUAUUUAUAAUUAUAUGUUGUUAUUAAUAGUAUAAUUAAAUAUUUUUAAAAUUGUUAAAUAAAUUUGUGUAAUAUUUAAUCUAUUAAUUUUGUAUAUUGUAUAUAUAUAAUUAUAUUAAUAAUUAUAAUAGUAAUAAAAAUAAUUAAUAUUAUUAAUUGUACCGGUUGGCACCGGACGACCGAAAGGUUUGCGUCAAAUAACUUAGCUGGAUAAAGGAAGUGAUUACAUGUGGAACGAGCAGUUAUAGUUUCCGCUGAAUAAGUCAAACACGCUCUCUGGGACACUCUCUAGAUUUCAGGAGACCAUCAAGCACACGCUCUCUGGAACACACCCUGGAUUUUAGGAGGCCAUCAAGCACGACCCAGAGACCACUAAGCAUACCGCUAACCAUUAGUUACUUGGCCCAGAAGACCAAGGCCCAAGUCAACCUACUAAAGGGACUUGAGAAAGGGGGAAAAGGUACGUUUUUCAUAAUAUCAGAGAAUUCUCACUUGAGCACCAUCGUUGACUUGAGCGUCGGAGUGCAAUCGCAGGUACCCCCGCCGGCCGACCGAGGCACGAGAAGAGGAAAGGAUACGUGAAGAAUAAGACAACCAAGAGUGAAGUAGACAGUGUAUCGACGUGGAUUAAGAUUACUUGGCCUCCAAUAUCCAUACAUGUACAUUAAUAGUUUGAAUAAUUAAUAUAUUUUAAAAAUAAUGUACAAUUUAAACAUAGUGAUAUAAUAAAAUUUGUAUAUUUUCAUAAAAAUUAUGAAAUAUGAACUAACAAGAUUAAAAAGAUUGUAUUUUAUUUUUUAUGUAUAAUUUUUUAUUUCAAUUUGUAUUAAAUGAAACAGAGAAAAUAAAAUAACAACCUUUGCUUAUUACUAAUAAAUACUGGAUGAAAUGAAAUAGUCGGCGACUACAAAACAUAACAGAAGAAGUCAUUAAAUUAGAAUCCCAAAUGGAGAGAGUGGUAAUGUCAUGAGAAUUUUUAAAAAAAUCACAAACAUAAUAAUGUCUAAUUCAAUUUAACUAACAAUCAAAACAAGUCCAACAUAAAUAAUAAUAAUAAUAACGCAAUAAAAAUACAAUCAAUAUUCAUCAUUGCCUUCAAGCUGAUGAAGUAUAUAUUCGAUUCGGCUCGAACGUGUGUUGAUAUCCAACUUCAUGCAAUAUAUUUUAAAUUCCCCCCUAAUUUGUGUUAACAUCACUGAAUCAUGGGGAUUUCGAGGUGAGGAUGACCGUCUGCAACAUGUUCUUGUGGCAAUGGAGUGUCUUAGUUUUCUUGUUCAUGUUCAUCGUCAGGCCUUCCAAGUUGCCACACACCAUUGACCUAAAAAAUAUUCAUUUUCUUCAUGGUUUUUUCCCCCAAGUUAUUCCACCUUCAUGUGAUUGAUGACUCUCCCAUAAAGUUCAUGCCAUACAACAACAUGAGGUGUGUUAUUAAAUAACUAUACGGAAAAGGCAUAUCAUCACAUUUUAUAAUGUGUUGCAUGAUAUAAUGAGGCCAAUUAAUCAUUACAUUACUUUUCUUCGUGAACCAGCUACGAGAAGUUGCUUCCCCGAUGACACAACAUGUGCACCCAUGUGUAAUGAAGUAGUGUGUCAUUCAUAGGAGAAACGCUAUGGAUUUUGUUUUCUUGUUGUCCAUGCUUGUAAUGACCAAUAUGUGUGGCUAAUUCUUCUCUUUGGGAUUGAGAGUAAUAUGUUCAAACUCUUAUAUAUUGAGGUGAUAUUUAUCUAUAAUAUUUUGUUCUUAAUUGAUGAUUGAUAUUAUCAUUUUACUCUUAAAUUUUGAAUCAUUAUUCAUCAUUUUCAUCCUUAAAUUUGAUUGGAAAGUACUUCUAAGCAUCUGGCUUAAAUGAUAAUGCUUAAUAUAUUUGAAUGCUAGGAAUAAAUUUUAAAUGUUAAUUGUUUUAUAACAUCUAUUCGUAAUGAUAAGAAGUUUUUAUAAAUAUGCAAGGAAUCAAUAUUUAUGAGACUUUAUUAAUAAUGUUGUAUGCAAUGAAUCGAUAUGAAUGAUUUUUAUAUGUGCACCAAUGUCAAUCAAGAUGGAAUGUUAUAUGUUUUUAUUCAUUGAAAAUACAAAUGAGUGAGAAGGAUUAACCCCAAUCCCAAUUUUCCCAAUUGACUAAUCCAAAUAAUUUAUUUUUCUUUUAUUUAAUUUCUUACAAAUACAUGAUACAAACAACCUUUGAAACAUACGUUUACACAUUUUCUUAUAUUUAGUGAAUGUUAUACUUGAGAUUUUAGAACGGUUUCUUAUGGGUUCGAUAUCCGUCCUCAAAGACUUCUGACUUGGUACACUUGUCGUAAAAUAGUCAUCGGCACCCUCCCUCCUUUGUUGUGGGAUCAUAGGAACUUCAUCAUCAUUUGGUCCAAUUUUUCCUUUACCCUCAGGAUUUUUUUGCCUCUUCGUGAAUGAAGAUGUCAUGGAUAGGGAAGUUAAAAUCUAUGAUGAAAAUGUUAUGAAACAAUGACAAAAUAAUAAUAUAUUAAAAAAUAACCUCACACAAAAAUUUGAAAUGAAUGGUAGUUGAGCAAUAAUAAUAUACACAAAAGGUUGAAGUAGCCAAUAAUAAUAUUAGAGAUCAAAUGAAAAGUACAAUGUUUGUAUUCAAUUGAAAGUCGGUGUAAUUAAAUUACAACUCUUACAACAUAAAAAAUAAAAAUACAAUUAAACAAAAUUUAUUGACUUCAAGUCAUUAUGUUAAACAAUUUUGUCAUCCUUCACUCUUUCAGCAUACCCAAUACUCGUAUCGUUUUAGCUAGAUUUUCACAGAGGAGGUUGUAGCAUUGGUCCAUUAUUGCUUCAUCUUGAAUAUUUAUAUCAAGUAGAAUGGAUCAAAUAUUUGACGAUGAGUAUUGAUACGAAGUUUUGUCGUCUAAUUUUCGCAACGAUUUCUUAUGAUGUUGUGGCUUGAAUCAGCGACAUCGUUACCACAGUUGAUGGAGGCAACCCAAUUUUGCAAGUCCAUAUUCAACAUCGUGAAUUGAUUCUCAAUUAUAUCCACCAUGGGGCAUUUUCUCUUUGACCUCCUAGAAGACGAUGUCCCACCGGAUGGCUGAGAAGGCUCAAAUGGAGUAUUACCUGACUGUCAAUUGAUUCAACAUGCGUUAUAGGUGAGAAUGGAAGUUCGUGGUCAGCAACAUGGAACUCUGAGGGCUCAGGUAUGUAGUCCAUGUUAUUAUCCUUUAGGUACACACUUAAAUGUUCUGUGUGCACCUAUUUAGAUGCUAGCCAAGUUGUUCUUUGACCACUUCCGGUAGCCUUUUCGUUUGACCACAAUUUCUCCAUAAGAUUGUAGUUCCGAAUGACAUUUGCACGCCAUUUAGCGACAAAUGAUUUCACCUACAAAGAAUGAGGUGUUAUUAUAAUAAAAAUUUAUGUCAUAUUUCCAUCUUUAAUUACUUUACCUGAAUGAAGUUUUCCCAGAGUUCAUCCUCAACCUCGAAACGUUUUGUGGCUUGGUUCCAACCAAAAUCACUAAGACCACUAAAUAGGUUGUGAACCUCCCUCCACAUGUCCUUUGAACAUUUUUGUCGGUUCUUCACAUUUUUUUUGUAAUGGUAGGGAGUCUGACGUCGUGUAAUGCAAGUACAAUGUUGUUAUGUCCUUGAGUUUUCUAGUUGCUAACGAUUCUAGACCCUCGUUGUGCCUCGUCCAUCAUGGCUCUAAGCAUUAUAAAAUCCAUAUUCGCGGUCCACUUUGUCGUCUGUGUGAACCCAAUGAAUGAACCUAGUUGAACACUUUUACUAUGAUCGAUCUAAACAAGCAUUAUGAAUGUUAGGACCAAAUAGAGUAAGCACAAUAGAAAACAACAUUGACUACAAUAUCAAUUGUUUACAUAAUCUUGCCACAUUUUGUUCGUUAUAGUGUCCCUAAUGUGUGAACCUAGUCUAUGAUCAUCGUCACGAGCUUGAGAAGUAGAAACUUGUAUAUAUUGUUGCAACAAUUCACGAUCCACUUCUUCUAUCAAAGACUCAUCCCUGUCUGCGAAGAAAGUUAUGCAAAAUGCAACAAGCUAAAACAAUAUUUGUCAUAGUAUACAAAUCGUAAUGUGGCUAAGUGCCACUAGCUGUAAUUCAUAAACGUUUCAUGACAGCAAAUGUCCUUUCAAUUACAUUUCUAAGCAACAAAUGUCGAUGAUUAAACAACUCUCUCGCAUUCUUUGGUCCUCUUCUAGAGUACUCUUUCAAGUUGAAUCUAACCCUAUGAUAAGGUGUUGAUAUUUGUCGUUUUACAUAAAACUUGCAUUGCUAAAAUAGUAUUUUUCCUACAAAGAUUCCAAGCAAACAUGAAUUAGUAGUCUAUAGUAUGACCAAAUUAUUGUACGCUCAAACACCUUAAACUUACCUUCUGGAAUAACCAAAGGAUCCUCUCCUAUGAAUGUCUCCUUCAAUAUCCUCGAAUCUGAGGUUGUUCCUUCCCAUCUGGUUAGAACAUAUGUGAAUUUCAUGUCCAAAUUACAAGUUGUGAAUACGUUUUGAGUUGACUAUUCUUUUCUUCCUCGUAAACGAGAUGCAUUAGCACGUGAGAACUUCACAUGUACAUGAGCACCAUCUAUGACCCCUAAGCAAUCCUAAUGGUAACCAAAAUUCCAUGUGUAAAGAAAUACAAAUACAAAGGACAUUAUGAGAAUCACAAAGGAAAUUUGUAAUAAAUGAACCUUAAAGUAAGGAAAAAACCAAUUGUUGUGUAAGAUUUGGGCUUGGACACAAGUACCAUUUGGUUGGUUUAUGAAUUGUCCCUCCAACAUCAAAAUUGUAUUUAAUAUAUUGUGAAAGUGAUGAGAAAUUGUUUCUCAAGACCAGUGGAAAAAAAAUGAAACACUUUAAUUCUUGAAGUUAUGUUCAAUAAUAUGAAGAAAUUUAGCAACUUGUUCUUCAACUAUUGAAUGAUAUGCAUCCUUGACAACUUCGAUUUUCCUAAUUCGUUCACAUAAUUUAAUGAAUGCUUCUGAUCACAUGCGAAUAAUAUCCCGAGAACGUUUGGUGUGCACCAAAUACUCCAUUAAUUCUUGUUUGUGACACUCUUAUUGUGGUUCGAACUUAGUAAUAAAAUUUGUUGUAUCACUUAAUAUACACAACAAAUUCAAACCAAAAGAAAUGAUGCAAAGGAUCAUCAUUGAUGCAAGUUCAAUACUUCUUUUUAAUUGUUCUUAUAUUUUUAAAAUUAGAUUCAUGUUUGCAUGAGCAACAUCAUUAUAAAUUGCAAUUGUCUCCUAAAAUUCUUCAAUGUCGGAGUCGUCAAAAAGUGGUGGAGAAUUCCUCUCGUUAUCAGUGUAAUAUUUACCUUUUCAUUAACAACCAUUAAAUAAUUUAUGUAUACGCUUCAAAUAGUUUAUGCUACGAAUAACUAACCACUUUGAUUGGAGUUAUUGCCAUAACAUUGAGGCUAGGGUAAGGCUAAAGGCUAUGGUUAAGGUAAAAGUUAGGGUUAGGAUAAUGGUUAAGGUAAGAGUUAGGGUUAUAAUAAAGGUCAGGGAUAUGAUCAAGGUAAGGGUAAGAGAUAUGAGUUAGGGUUAUGGUUAGAGGAUACAAGUUAGGAUUAAUGUUAUGGUUUAGGAUUAGGGUUAAGAUAAGGUAAAUGUUAGGGUUAAUGUUAAGGUUAUGGGAUAUGAGUUAAGGUAAGGAAAACGGUAAGGGUUAGGAUUAGGGUAACAAUAAUGGUUAGUGAUAUGGUUAGGGUAAGGGUAAGAGAUAUGUGCUAAGGUUAGGUUAGGGUGAGGGUAAGAGACAUAAGUCAGGGUUAGGGUGAUGGUUAGAUUACAAUAAAGGUUAAAGUUAGGGUAAAAGUUAGGUUAUGGUCAUGUGUAAGAUUAAGAUUAGGUUAAUGCUAGGAUUAUGAUGAAGGUUAGGGUAAGGUUAAGAGAUAUGUAUUAUGAUUAAGGUAAGGGUAAUGGUUAGGGUUAAGGUAAGAGUUAUGAUUAGGUUAAUAUUUAUGAUUAGGUUUAAAGUUAUGGUAAAGGUAAAAGAUAUGGGUUAAAGUUAAGGUUAAAGUUAGGUUUAUGGUUAUGGAUAGUGUAGGUGUUAGGGUUAUGGAAAAUGUUUAGGAUUUAAGUUUAGGUAUAUAAUUUUGAGUUAUGGAUUGUUGGUUAUUAAUUCAGAUUUUAUUAGCCUUAAAUGUUGGUUCUUAAUUUUGAUUUUAUUACCCUUAAAUUAUUUUACUGUUAUUAUUGCAUUAAUGGUCAAUUUACAGAGCUGUUAGUAUUCCUAUUUUAUAGCUUCCAAUAAUUGUAAUUUUAUUAUAUAUAUAUAUAUAUAUUAUUGAAGUAAAUCAAAAUGAAUGAAUCAGUUCAGCAAUUUUGCAAUCUUGUGCAAUUACGUUCAAUCAGUUUCUACAACCUUUUGCCUUCUGUUAUUUCCUUUAAUUAGUUCCUACAACUGGUAUCAAAGCUAGUCUGUUAUCAUGAACUCUACCCAAUUAUCAGUCCCUAUCCUUGAUGGAAAAAACUACAAUCGGUGGUGUGUGCAGAUGAGAGUUUUGUUUGAUUAUCAUGAGUUAUGGGAUGUCGUUGAGAGUGGAAUGUCUCCAUUAGCUAAUAAUGCAACUGAGGCGCACCGAGUAGCGCAUCAUGACCAGAAGAAGAAGGACAAGAAGGUUUUGUAUCUAAUCCAUCAAGGGAUGAAUGACGAGACGUUUGAGCAGAUAGAAGGAGCAACAACUGCAAGUGAGGCAUGUAUAAUAAAUCAAAUGUGGAGUGUUAUAACAUCCAUAAACACACCAUUAUGCAAAUGAGUGCAGAUCAAAAGGUGAUAAUCAUGUUGCCAAUUGUGCUCAAGAAGAUAGUAAUCACAAACAAGAUGAAGAGGAUCAUUCAGUACUAAUGACAACCACAUCAAAUGAAACUACAAAUAAUCAGACUUAGUAUUUGGAUACAGGUUGCACAAAUCAUAUAUGUGGUCAGAAGGAGUUGUUUGCAGAUUUGGAUGACUCAUUUCGCACAAAAGUGAAAUUCGGUGAUAGCAGGUUCGUUCCGGUGACUAGAAAAGGGCGAAUUCUUAUCACAUUGAAGAAUGGUGAUCACAGGUACAUCUAUGAUGUUUUCUAUGUACCUGAUAUGAAAAGUAAUCUGUUGAGUAUGAGACAACUGGCCAAAAAGGGUUACGUGAUGCACAUAGUUGAAAAUAAAUUCUCAAUUUUUGCUAAAAAAGGUAAUUUGAUUCUUAAAACCUUUUUAUCAAAAAACUGCAUGUUUCCAAUAGAUUUUCAUAUGGGUGAUUUCAAGUGUUUGAAUGCAAUAGUGAAUAAUGAAUCGUGAUUGUGACAUUUACGCUUUGGGCACUUAAAUUUUCAGAGUUUGGAAAAUCUCUCCAAACGAAAUUUAGUGAAUGGUUUACCCCAUAUUCAUCACCCUGAUCAAUUGUGUGAGACUUACAUUUUUGGAAAGAAUCACAGGAUAACAUUUGUUAAGGAGCCUUGGUGUGCAAAAUUUCCUUUGAAGCUUAUUCAUACAAAUGUUUGUGGCCCGAUGAACAUAUAUCAUGGAAGUAAUAAGUAUUUGUUUAACCUUUAUUGAUGAUUUCUCAAGGAAAACCUGGAUUUAUCUAUUGAAAAGCAAGGAUGAGGUAUUCCACUGCUUUAAAAUAUUUAAAGCAUUUGUUGAAAGACAGAGUGACAGACUAAUUAAGAUGGUGCGUAGUGAUGGAGGAGGUGUGUACAAGUCUAAUGAGUUCAAGAGGCACUGUGAAGAACUUGGGUUGCAACAUAACAUAACUUGUCCCUACACACCUUAACAUAAUGAAGUUGCCAAGAGAAAGAAUAGAACAAUCAUGGACAUGGCGAGGAGCAUGCUUAAAGCGAAAGGUAUGCCAAAUUAUUUUUGGGCUGAGACCGUAACAUGUGCGGUAUAUUUGAUAAACAGAUCACCCACUCAGAGUGUUCCUAACACAACUCCGAUUGAGGCAUGGAACGGAUUCAAACCCAAUGUGCAACACUUGUAGGUAUUUGUGUCAAUUACUUAUGCUCAUGUCCCCAAGACAACAAGAUCGAAGUUGGAUGAUUUGGCAGUGAAGACCAUUUUCAUUGGAUAUAAGUGUGGAGGAUACAAACUGUACAAUCCAAUGACAAAGAAGGUGAUUGUUAGUCGUGAUGUUACAUUUUCCGAAAAUGAGGAAUGGCAAUGGAAUGCAGCAGCUGAAAUGGAUUCGAAAAAACGAUAUAUUUACGUUUUGAACGAUGAUGUGGAAGAUGGAAUCACUCUUGACGCACCUGCAGUUCAACCUGAAGCUGUAAUUCAACCUGAAGUUGCAGCUCCAAUUGCAACUAUGAUGGAGCGACCAAGAAGGAAACAACGACAACCUGUACACCUUCAAGAUUGUGAAGUAGAUCUUGAUGAUGAAGUUGAUGACAAUGGAGAUUUGGUUCACUCUGCUUUUCUUGCAGAUUCAGAACCCGUGAGACUUGUAGAUGCCAUUCAACACCCCCAAAUGGCAAGAAGCUAUGAAUGAAGAAUUGAUGGCAAUUGAGAAAAAUAAUACAUGGCAGUCCACUGAUCUUCCAAAAGGACACAAAACAAUUGAUGUGAAGUGGGUGUACAAGAUUAAAGUGAAAGCAAAUGGUGAGAUUGAUAGAUAUGAGGCAAGGUUGGUGGCAAAGGGAUUCGAGCAAAGAGAAGACUUUGAUUACGAAGAAAUAUUUUCUCCUGUAGCUCGAAUGAAAACAGUGAGAUUAAUCAUUGCUUUAGUUGCACAAAGGCAAUGGAAAAUUUACCAAAUGGACAUCAAGUCUGCAUUUCUAAACGACCCACUUGAUGAAGAGGUUUAUAUAAAGCAGCCGUCGGGUUUCAUACAAUCUGGAAAAUAGGAGAAGGUUUACAAACUAACUAAGGCUUUAUAUAGUCUUUAACAGGCACCAAGAGCUUGGAACAAAAGGAUUGAUUCAUUUCUUCGUGCCACUAGAUUCAAAAAAUGUGCAUCAGAUCAUGGUCUUUAUGUAAAGACUAAUGACUAUGGAGAUUUUCUAAUUUUAUGCCUAUAUGUCGAUGAUGUGAUUUUUACAAGAAGUAAUCUCAAAAUGAUUGGUGACUUCAAGCAUAUCAUGAUGAAGGAAUUUGAGAUGACUGAUCUCGGUCUUAUGUCCUACUUUUUGGGCAUUGAAGUCAUCCAAGGAGAUGAUGAAAUCUUCAUUCAUUAGAGGAAAUUUGCUACUGAGUUUUUAAAGAAGUUUAAGAUGGAGGAUUCAAACCCAGUUAAGAUUCUAAUUGAAACUGGAAUUAAACUCACGAAGGAAGGUGAUGGGCGAACUGUAGAUGCAACAUACUUUAAGCAAAUUGUUGGGAUCCUAAGAUAUCUCACGUGUACUAGACCCGACAUAUGUUAUGCUGUGAGAUUGGUUAGUCGAUACAUGGAGUCACCUCGACAAGUUCAUUUACAAGUUGUAAAGAGAAUUAUGCGCUACAUCAAAGGUUACUACAACUUUUGGUCUAUUUUACUCUUCAUCUAAGAAGAUUGAGAUCGUCGGAUACUCAGACAAUGAUUGGGAUGGAGAUCCAGACGAGAGGAAGAACACUAGUGGUAAUUGUUUUAUGGUUGGAAAGACUGUUUGCUUGUGGUCAUCAAAGAAACAGUCAAUUGUUGCAUUAUCUACUUGUGAAGCUGAGUAUGCAGCAGCAACAAAUGCUUGUCAAUUAGUUUGGCUCAACAAUAUCAUGACUCAAAUUGGUUUUAAUCUAAAUGUUCCAAUUAAGAUUUAUGUUUACAAUGUCUGUGCAAUUAAUCUUGCAAAGAAUCCAGUUUUUCAUCAAAGAAGUAAACACAUUGAUAUUCGAUAACACUUCCUGCGAGACCAAGUUGGGAAGAACAUGAUCAAAUUGGAAUAUUGCAGAUCAGAAGAUCAGAUUGCAGAUAUUCUCACUAAGCGAUUGAAGAUCGAUGCUUUCAUCAAGUUAAGAGAUAUGUUGGGCAUGAAAGUUGUUACAAAUCAGAAUUAAGGGAGGAUGUUGGUUAUUAAUUCAGAUUUUGUUAGCCUUAAAUGUUGGUUAUUAAUUUUGAUUUUAUUACGCUUAAACUAUUUUACCGUUAUUAUUGCAUUAACGGUCAAUUUACAGGGCUGUUAGUAUUCCUAUUUUAUAGUUUUCAGUAAUUGUAAUUUUAUUAUAUAUAUUAUUGAAGUAAAUCAAAAUGAAUGAAUCAGUUCAACAAUUUUGCAAUCUUAUACAAUUACGUUCAAUUAGUUUAUACAACCUUUUGCCUUAUGUUAUUUCCUUCAAUUAGUUCCUACAAUUAUUUCCUUCAAUUUAAGUUUAGGUAUAUAAUUUUGGGUUAGGGAUAAGGUUUAGGGUUAGUGUGAGGGUCAUGAUUUAGUUUAAGCCUUACAAUUAGGACUACAACUACUAAUAAACAAAAAUAAAUUUAUAACUAAUUCUAAAUUUAUUUCGAAUCAUAGUGAUGUUAACUUAAUUACAAUACACAAUAACCAAUAAUUAAUAUUAAAUACAACCAUAAUAUCAAUAAUUUUUUCAAUAUUAAACAUAUGGUAAUAAAUUAUAAUUGUCAUUAGUUAUGUCUUAUAUAAAUUGUACUGGAUAGAAAAUUAAAAAAUAAAUAUCAAAACAGUGCAUAUUUAACAAAAUUAAAAAUUUGGUGACAUUUACAAACAUAAAAAAGCAGGAAACAUGAAGAAAAAAAAACUAUAAACACAUUUAUAAAAAUAAAAAACAAUGAUUAACUUACCAAUGAAGAGUAGUAAAGAAGAAGACCACCAUAGUGUGAUGAACACGACCCAACGACUCAUUAACGGCACAAAGAAUCCAACCACAACGAAGAUCCAACCUGAAACACAAAAAAAACAACACAAAAUUAAAAGGUUUUCAAACUUCAUAAAAAAACAAAACACAAAAAUCGAUUCUCGUUGUAGUUAAAGCAAAGGAAAAAUUGAUUCUAACACCCCAACCCCACACCGAGAAUCAAUUCUCAUUCUAGGUCAAUAAAGGCAAAAUCGAUUCUAGCAUUCUAGCACACUAGAAAAUCGAUUAUCGGUUCUAUGGCACCAACAAAUGAAAAUUGGUUAUGCUUGUUUAAAACAACCAUUAGAAUCAAUUUACAUAACCUAGAAAUUACCAAAAUUGAUUCUCUUAAAAAAAUAACUAACACAAUCAAGAUUUUCAUGCUCUAAACAUUGCAUGCUAAAAGGAAUUUUACCUUUGUGUUACCUUUGUAUCUCUUCCUUGCUCUUCCUCAACCACACAGAAAAAAACUGCUCAAGAACAUAAAAAAUUCUUCAAUCUAUCUGGAACAACGAAACCUCAGGCACACCUCUCACAAACACCUCAAUAUAUAUACAAUAACUCAAUGAAGAAUUAAGUUCACAUGCCUGCAAGCCUUUACAUAAGGGCGUGAUGGUGAAGAGAGAAAGGGAGGUUGGAUAGAGUGUAUAGGGGGUCCAACAUGGAAAAAUUGACUAAUAUGGUGCAAUUUGAUAACCCAUGAAGUCGCCCAUGAGAUGUUUGAAAUUAAUUAAACCCAUUAAUCUCUCACUUAAUUUUUUUAAUGAAUGUCGCCAACUAGGUUGUCAACUUCACUUCAAAUAAAAUGUAAAAUUUUUUAUAUUAGAUUGACAACUUAAGUGCAGUUGAUUUUUUUUCUUUAAAAAAUGAUAAUUUAUAUUUUAAAAUAAAAAUAUGUAUAAAACAAUAAUUUAGAAAUUGUUUAAAAUUACAUGAAAUGAAUAAAAAUGUUGUGAAAUUUUUUAUUUUAUAAAUAAUAUCAAAAAUUUAAUUUUGUUUGAUUUAAGAAAAUCAUAUUUAAAGUUGAGGAAUUAAAACAAAAUUUUGUUCACAAAAAAUAAACUUACCUUAAAUCAAUAUAUUAAAAAUGUAUAUGAAAUAUUUUAAAUAAAUUAGGUUAAAAGUAAGUUGUGUGAUAAAUUAAAAAAAAUUGACUAUUAAUGUUAAAGUUAAAAAUAUUUAUAAAAUAAAUAAAUUUAAAUCAUGUUUGUGACUUAUAUUUUAGGGUUGAUACAAUUAUAAAUAAAAUGGGUAUGGUUUAUGUAUAAAUUUUUAGAUUAUAUAAUAUGAAUGUUAAUGAAAGUAUAGAUAAUAUAGAUUAUAUAAUAUAUAAAAAGUAAUAGUAUACAUAUAUUUAUGCUAAAAUAAAUGUAUUAAAAAAUAAAUUAAAUUAUUGAAUAUAAGUCACUAAAAGAAGAUGAUAUUAAAAUAUUUGAUGAAAACAACAUUAUAAAUGAUAUCAAAACUUGAUUUAGUGUUUCUAUUCAUGACCUCUCAAAGAGGAUUGAAGAGGGGGUGCUAAGAUUAUUUGGAUUCUUGGAGGUGCUUACGCGAAUGGGGAGCGAGUGACCCUCAUUUUUCAUUGAAGAUGUUGUCCAUGUAAGAUCUAAGCAAUUUACUACCAAACCCUUACACAUGCUACCUCAGAGACGAAUUAUAAAAUAAAUAAAUCAUAUUUUUUAUUAAAUAUAAUUGUUUUAUGCUUUGAGAAUAUUAUUUUUAUCACAACAUUCAAUCUUUCAAUGUUUAGUAACUCAUUUUUUUAUGAAAAUAUUGAAAAUAAUUUGCAAAAAUUUAGUAAACUCAAAUUUACACAAAAAUAUAUCAUAAUUUAUUAUUAAAAUAUUUUUUAAAAUAAGGGUAAAUUUUUAAACUUACAUUUUACACUUUUAAAAAAAUUCUAAAUUCCAUCAUAACAACAAGUAGAUCACUCACAAACUUCAAUAAACCAUCAUUACAAAUCCACUCUAACAUCUCUCAAUCCAACCAACCUUGCACAUCUACUCUCUCAAAUUCCCACAAAUCCCUAAUCCAAACACGUUUAAGUUAAUUAACUUACCCAAUCCUGAUCCGACUCCCGACCCAUACCCCAGACAAAAUGAAAGAUUAAUGAGUUUAAUUAAUUUGGUACAUUGCAUUAGGGACUUGAUGUAGCAAAAUGCCUAUUUUUUUAUUUUUUUUCUGCUUUUACCUAUUUUUGUAAUUGGGUUAUCAAAUUGCACCAUUUUUGUCAAUUUGCCUCCAACGUCAGAGGUGAGUGUGAGGGUGUGAAGAAAAGAGAAAAAAAGAAACCGUGUGAGAGAGUGAGGUUGGAAGCUGAUGCCUCUGUCUUGGUUGCUUGAGCGGUGGUAGAGGACAUGACGGAGCUGCUAUAAUUAGGUGGCGGCAUUGAGUAAUAGAAGAGGCCAUAGAGAGUGGUGUUUCCUAUAGUGGUGAUGCGGCGGUGCGGUUUUGCUAGGAUUCUCUCUGCAACACAAGAAAUCAACCAAAAACAGAAGGCAAAAAACAAAGAACAGAGGUAGAGUGAUAGGGAAAGGAACCCUAGAAGAUGAGAAGGGAUUAGAGAAACAGAGGCAGAGAAUAAGCGAGAGAAAGAUAAAAAGAAUCUUUUAUUAUUUUGUCAAAAUCCCAAUUACAGAUUCUCUGGCAGUGUUGAUAUAAAACACUCGAAAAAAACAAAAGGAAACAGAAAUGGGCCUAAAGCUGAUGAGCGGCCCAAUACACAUAUAUGCAGCCCAAAUAAAAGAAACACAUCAUUUCAUCAGCCCCCCUCAAGCUGGGAAUAGAUGUUCUUCAUUCCCAGCUUGGUAUGUAAUAAGGUAAAGAUGUUGUGGGGAAGCGGUUUGGUUAGGAUGUCCGCAACCUGCAUGGAGGAGGAAACGGGAAGAAGUUUGAGAAGACCAGCUGCAACCUUUUCAUGAACAAUAUGGCAGUCAAUCUCUAUAUGUUUGGUACGCUCAUGGAUGACUGGAUUGUUGGCUAUUUGGAUUGUAGAUUGGUUGUCACAAUAGAGAACUGCAGGUUGAGCACUGGUAAUCCGAAAAUCUUGUAGAAGGUACAUUAACCACUGGAUUUCACAUGUUGUAGCUGCCAUGGCCCUGUACUCUGCUUCUGAGGAACUUCUGGAGAUAGUUUGCUGCUUCUUGGAUUUCCAUGCAAUGAGAGAGUUGCCUAAAAAUAUUGAAAAUCCAGUAAUGGAUUUUCUUGUAGUAGGACAUGUUGCCCAGUCAGAAUCACUAAAACACUUUAAUUUAAUGAAAUUAGAAGAGAGGAAGAAUAUACCCGAUCCUGGUGCAGAUUUUAGAUACCGCAGAACCCGAAAAACAGCUUGUUGAUGGUCUUUAGUUGGUGCAGUUACAAAUUGACUAAGGUUGUUCACACUAAAGGUAAUAUCAGGUCUUGUGUUUGUGAGAUAGAGAAGACGACCAAUGAGGCGACGGUAGGCAAAUGCGUCUGUAUCAGACAAGGGAGCACCUUGGGUUGGAGAGAGCCGAGAAGAGUGGAGCAUAGGAGUAGGCAUGGGUGCACAGUCCAACAUACCAGCAUCAUUCAACAGAUCCAGAGUAUAUUUUCUCUGACAGAGAUGAAUACCUGUUGAGUUGCGUGCCACCUCAAGGCCCAAGAAGUAGGUGAGGUCUCCAAGAUUUUUUACUUUGAACUGUUGGUCCAGCAGAUUUGUAAUGCGGGCAAUUUCCUCAGUAUCAUUUCCAGUGAGUACAAUAUCAUCCACAUACACAAGAAGAGCAGUGAUGUUAGUGCCUUUAUGUUUUAAGAACAGAGAGUUAUCAGCAGUGGACAAGAUAUAAUUAUGAGACAACAAAAAAUUAGAUAGUUUUGCAUACCAUUGCCUUCCCGCUUGUCGAAGCCCAUACAAAGAACGUUGUAAUUUGCAAACAUGAGUGUUGUUAGGAAGAAGAAGACCUGGUGGAGGUUUCAUGUAGACAGUCUCAACAAGGUCUCCAUGUAGGAAAGCAUUGUUGACGUCUAGUUGCUUCAAUACCCAAUUUUGUGCCGCAGCAAGAGCAAGUAACAGGCGAAGUGUAGUGAGCUUGGCAACGGGUGCAAAGGUUUCCAGGAAAUCAAGUCCUUCUAACUGCGUGUAGACCUUGGCAAAAAGACGGGCUUUGUACCUCUCUAUGGUACCAUCAAAUUUCCUUUUUAUUUUAUAUAUCCAUCUGCAGCCAAUGGCAGUCUGACCUGGAGGGAGAGAAGUAAUGACCCAUGUGUGAUUGGUUUCAAGCGCUUCUAGCUCCUCUUUCAUGGCUUGCUGCCAGCAUGGGUGCUUUGAUGCUUCCACAUAGGAUUGCGGCUCCAUAUGUGAUGAGACAGAAAAAACAAAUUUUUUAAAAGUUGUAGACAAAGAUUUAUAAGAGACAAAGUUAGAGAUAGGGUAUUUUGUACUUACAUUAUUUGUAUGUGUGGAUGAGGUAUGAAAAUCAUGUAGGUACAUUGGCAUUUUCCUCUGACGGGUUGACCUUCUUAGAGUGGUAUCAGGUUAUUCUUCAGUGGGAGUGAAUUGUGCCUCAUUAGCAAGGUCAUCAGGUUCAAAGGAAUCACCAGAUUGAUCAUAAAUGUCAUUAUUUCCAAUAAAUUCAGUAUUACCAGUCACCAGACUUUCCUUAGUGUUAUCAAGAGAAUCAUCAUGAAUAAAAUCAUCAGUAAAAACAUAAUUAUGGGGAAUUGGAAGGGAUAAGUUGUUGGGUCUUUCAUUAUUAUCAACAUUCAAUUUAUAGGAAAUUUGAUGUUCAUGAAAUAUUACAUGUCUUGAGACCUCAAUUUUGUGAUUUUUAAGAUUUAAAAAAACAUAGCCUUUGGUAUGAGGCCAGAAACCCAAGAACACUCCAGAAACAGCACGUGCAUCAAAGCUUCUUCUGUUAGAAGUGAUAGUACUAGAAUAACAAAGGCAUCCAAACACGCGAAGAGCAGUUAGAUCAUAUGAUUUAGCAUGCAGUUUCUCAUAAGGAGAUUUAUUCUCUAAUAAAGGAGUCAGAGUGCAGUUUAUAAAAAAAACAUGUAAAGUAGCAAAAUUCCAAAAUAUAGGAGGCAAGUUUGCUUGAAAAAUAAGAGCACGAGUUACAUUUAGUAUAUGCUGAUGUUUCCUCUUAGCCACACCGUUUUGUUCGGGUGUCUCAACACAAGUAGUUUGGUGAAUAAUACCUUUAGAGGAGAAAAAAGAUUUCAUGGCAAAUUCUUGUCCAUUAUCAGUACGAAUUAUUUUGACAUUGUUUUCAAACUGAUUUUUAACAUAUGCAAUGAAAUUUUCAAUGUGAGUUCUAGUUUCAGAUUUAGUGACCAUGGGAAUAAGCCAAGUAAAACGUGAAAAAUCAUCAACAAUAGUUAAAAAAUAUUCAUGACCAUACAUAGAAGAAAUAGAACAUGGACCCCAAAUAUCCAUAUGAAGUAAUUCAAAACAGCAAUUAGUACGAGAACUACUCAAAGGAAAGCACAAUCUCUUUUGUUUUGCUCUAUGGCAAGUAUCACAUACAUGGGUUNNNNNNNNNNNNNNNNNNNNNNNNNNNNNNNNNNNNNNNNNNNNNNNNNNNNNNNNNNNNNNNNNNNNNNNNNNNNNNNNNNNNNNNNNNNNNNNNNNNNNNNNNNNNNNNNNNNNNNNNNNNNNNNNNNNNNNNNNNNNNNNNNNNNNNNNAGAAUCAAGAAUAUACAGGUCAUCUGUGGUCUUAACUGUACCAAUCCUCUCGUUGGUAACAUUGUCCUGUAUUUCACAUUUAUUUGAAGAGAAAAUUAAUCUGUAAUCCAAGUCAGAAGUAAUUUUUGAGACAGAUAUCAAAUUAAAAGCAAAGUGAGGUACAUACAAGACAUUUCUUAAGUAAAACCUUUUACUAAAGACAACAGUGACAGAGUAUUUAGCCAAAACAUGAUGGCCAUUUGGCAGAUUUAUAGGGACAGGUUUAAUAGAUUUAUAUGAGGCAAAAUUAGAUAAAGAAACACAUACAUGAUCAGUAGCUCCUGAGUCUAAGACCCAGUAAGAAUUAAUUUUGAGAGGGAGAUUACCUGUUGAAGAAUUAGAUUGAUCCGUCACUUGGUGAGCUGAAUGGGUGGAGAGAGAUCCCACUUGAUUCACUUGUGCCGGAUUGAUCUUGCUUUUGUUAUCAACAACACUCUUAUUUUGCUUGAAUAUGUCGGAAAGGAUCUGGUACUGCAAGGGAGUGAGGGUAAUGUUGCCCUCUUCCUGUCCUUUUAGACAAUUUUCAGAAGAAACAUCAUCAGUAGACACAAUACUAUUAAUUUGACUGGGUUUUCCACCAUUGGAAAAUUUAUAUCCAGGAGGAUAACCAUGUUUCUUGUAGCAACUCUCAACAGUAUGACCACUUAUGCCACAAUGAGUGCAGAUUUUCUUAUUACUGUUAUUUUUGUAUAUUCUACUGUCUUUAUUUGGAAAUCCAUUCUUUCGAAAACAAACUUUUUCAGUGUGCCCUAUCUUACCACAAAAGUUACAGAUAACAGAGGCAGAACUAGCAGAACCAGGGUUGCGGUUGAUACUAAUAUUGCUAACAACAUUGUUGAUACUAGUGACCAAAGUAUUACUAACCAAAUGAUGUUCUUGUUGUACCACCAGAGAAAAAAUCUUUGAUAUGGGAGGGAUAGGUUCCAUCAAUAGAACGUGAGACUUGAUAUUGUGAUACUGCUCAUUUAACCCUCUGAGAAACUGCGUUGCCUGAUCUUCAAGCUUCCUCUGAUUCAGAAGAGUCAUAACAACACAAUAACAAGAACAAUUUGUCUUACAAGCACAUAUCGGGUUAGGUCUAAAAUUCUCAAUUUCAUCCCAAAUAAUGCGAAGUUUAGUAAAGUAAUCAGUGAUAGAUUGGUCUCCCUGACAAAGGGUAGCAGCUUCCAUUUGCAGAUUAGAAAUUCUAGAAAGACUACCUUGGGAAUACCUAGUUUUGAGAUUGUUCCACACAUCAACAGUUGAAUCCAUCCAAAUAAUGCUCUUCCUUAUCGGGACUGAGACGGAAUGCACCAGCCACGAUACCACCAUGUUAUUACAGCGGUUCCACGCGGCAUAAGUAGAAUGAUUCUUAGCUGGGCAGGGAUGCGUGCCCAGAACAAACUCUAGUUUAUUUUUCGCACUCAAGGCCGUCAUGACUGACCUCCUCCAGGAAUGAUAGUUUGUCGAAUCCAGAACGGGUGAUACCAAGCUGAUUCCAGGAUUCUCAUUAAGAUGUAGAGAAAGAUAGGUUUCGUCAGAUGUCUCUUUCGCCGCUUCUGCCAUGACUGCGGAGCAAAGAAGAACAAAACUUCAAACACAAUGUGACGAAAAAAAAAACAGAAAAAAGGAGAGGAAAGAAAAGGUACGAUUGAAAACCAAGAAAACAAGAGGAAUAUAUAAAAAAAAGAAUCAAGAACUAAAACCAGAAUGAAAACAAUAUCAGAGUGCAUAGCAGAGCUCUUCAAAUGAAGAGCUCUGAUACCAUAAUAGAAGAGGCCAUAGAGAGUGGUGUUUCCUGUAGUGGUGAUGCGGCGGUGCGGUUCUGCUAGGAUUCUCUCUGCAAUACAAGAAAUCAACCAAAAACAGAAGGCAAAAAACAAAGAACAGAGGUAGAGUGAUAGGGAAAGGAACCCUAGAAGAUGAGAAGGGAUUAGAGAAACAGAGGCAGAGAAUAAGCGAGAGAAAGAUAGAAAGAAUCUUUUAUUAUUUUGUCAAAAUCCCAAUUACAGAUUCUCUGGCAGUGUUGAUAUAAAACACUCGAAAAAAACAAAAUGAAAUGGAAAUGGGCCUAAAGCUGAUGAGCGGCCCAAUACACAUAUAUGCAACCCAAAUAAAAGAAACACAUCAUUUCAUCAUUGAGCGAUGCUGGAUGAGCUGUUGGGAUGGUUGGAGGUGCAAACGAUUAAGCGUUGGAGUGGACGGCGGAUGUGUGAAUGAAAGAGGAUGAGAGUGAAUCUUGAGUGUGAGGUUGGAGAAGAAUGAAGUGAGAAUGAGAGAAUCUGUGUGUGAGGAAGAGUGGGAGAAGUCUUGUUAGUAAGGGUGUGUUGAUAUCAAGAGUUGUAUCAAGAUAGGUGGGCAGAAAAACUGAAAGCUAUUGAGAGAGAGGGGAAAUCUGAGAGAAAAAUGGGGCUACGAAGAGUAAUAAGCGAGAUGAGUUAGGGGUGCACAUAGAGGAAUAAGGGUGUGUAAAGAGUAAUAAGUGAGAUGGGCUAGGGGUCACGAAGUGAAACAGGGGGUGCGAAGAGUAAUGAGCUAGAUGAGUUAGGGGUUGCGCGAAGAGAAAUAAUGGGGAUGAAGAGUAAAAUAGGAUAUUUUUAAUUUUAAUUUUCUCUUUUCUCUCUUUAUUUUCAAAACUAGCAUCCUCUUGACCCAUUUUUAUUUUCUUCAAAAGAGAACAAACUUUAAAAGAAGAUAUAUAUUUUUUUCAAUUAUAUAUUUUUUAAACAUUUUUUACUUAUUUUAUUAGGAACAAAGUUUUAAAUAUCUGGAUGAAAAUGGAUGACACAAUGGUGGUAUCCUCUUAAAAUAGGAUUUGAUGGUUACAUUUAUCACUAUAAAGCACGACUGGUUAUCAAAUAACACUAAAAAAUCUAUGUUCAAAAUUAUACUUUGACACUUUUUAUCAAUUGCCAAAAUCACAUUUAUGAUUUCUCUUUUCUUAUUUAACAAUAAGUAUCAUAAUUAUGAACAGUGGAAAUAAAAUCACUAAAUUUUUUUUUAUCACAAAUACAUAUGUUUUAAACAUGAAAAAACUAUAACUAGUCAUAAUUAUAAAUAACAUAUCAAAUACAUAGGAAUAGGAAUGUUGAACUAAGUGUCAAUUUUUUUUUAUUUUAAAUUGUGUUGAUAGAUGCAAGUUUUUAAUAUGACAAACGAUCUAUAAAAACAUUUUUAAAAAUUAUGUUAAAAAUAUUCUCCUUCUUUUGUUUUAGUAAUAUGUAAUUUAAAUAAGUUUAAGGAAAAGAAGAAUUUAUAUUGGAUAUUUUCAUAUUGUUCAUCAAUAACACUAACUACAUUUAGUUCUUGUUCAAAUAAUCAAAUUUUAUAGGACAAACUAAUGAUACAAAAUACAAUAGAGUAUUUAUAGAAAACAGGAAAAUACACGAAAAGAUGGUUGAAUUUUGUUUUUAAAAUCUUUUUAAAACAUUUUUUCAAAGAAUCAUCUAAUAGUUUAUAGUCAAACAACAAUGUGUAUGAGAAACGAUCUAUCAAUGAGUUCUAAAAAAUAUUUUUGAGAAAACUCUUAUUCUUUAAUCAACAUAACUGAAAUAACAAUCAGUGUAAUAUAUUAAGGAAAGAAAGAUUAUUCAAUAUUUUUAUAUUAGUUUAUUUGAUAGCGUAGACUAUGUUCAAAUUUUUACUAACAAAUCAAGUUCCACUAAGCGGACUAAUACUAUGAAGUACAAAGCAAGUACUAUUUGAACUCAAGUACUCUUUACUAAAACCCAAGUAUUUUUUGACUCAGCCACUCCUAGCUAAAAACCCAAGUAUUUUUUAGAACUAAGUCACUUUUGGCUAAAAUUUAUUAUUCUUUGAAAUGCAACGACUCCUGGCUAAAACUGAGUAUUGUUUGAAUUGCAACCACUCCUAUCUAAAAUUUAGUAAUCUUUGAAACACAACCACUCUGGGCUAAAAUUGAGUAUUGUUUGAAUCACACCCACUCUUGGCUAAAAGUGAAUAUUGUUUGAACCACAAUCACUUUUGUCUAAAAUUAAGUAUUGUUUGAAUCACACUCACUCUUGGCUAAUACAAAAGAUAGUCUUAAGAUGUGAUAAAAAUAUCAUAGGUUUUGUUUAUUAGGAAUGCAUUUUUUUGAUGAUUACAAGGAUAAACACUCUCUCCUAGUUUUCUAAUGAACACAAACAAUGUUCUUCUAAAGGCACAAAGCAAAUUUGGCAGCACUUUUGCACUUACAAAUAAUGACAUAACUUCUUAUUCUUCUCAUCAAAGAAUAUCUUUAUAUGGGCACUUGAAAAUUGUAGCUAUUACAAUCCUUUUUUUGGUCGUUGAGUAGCUUUGAACUCAUUUAAAUAUCUUCACUUUUCUUUUAUCAUCUGAUGAGCUUGAUUGUUGAGAAGUAUUGUGCUACGAAAAAGUCCAACACUUGUGAUUUUGAUUAAGUGUUGAAAACAACUAAGUGCAAAAUAUGGUCAUGCUUCGUCUAUGAUACAAUAGUUUUUAGUUCCGCAACAAAUAAUGUAAGACUCAAGUGUUUUGUUUGUCAGAUGAUACAACACUAUGUUGUCUUCUUUUACAUCUAAUAGAGCAUGGAUAUGCUCAAAUAAUACACACAUAUAUCUAAGUUAACCUCGUACUACACAAAUUUUUAUAUGUUUAUUAUAUGUUGGAUGGAAUAUCAAUUGAUUUCAUUUUCCAAGAAGAUCCAUUUAAACAUAAGUUACAUGAAUGAUCUCUUGAAUGAAGAGCUAAAACUACUUUCUUCAACAAAUCCCCAAUAUAAACAUAUGUCAACUGUAGUCCAAUCAUUUUCCUUGUACGGUGUGCAUUUUUACCAUGUUUUUAUGUAAAAGGAUAUGCAACCUAGGGAUAUAAAUACUUUCAACUAUCAAGGAUGUUGUGUGAAGUAAAAAAGAGCAAGUAAUGUUGCAUGAAAUGCAUUUAAUUCAUUCUUCACAAUCAAGUUCAUUAGUUGCAAGAACAACAUUCAAGUGAAUUGAAGCUACUUAAUGGUCUGAAAUGGAUUUGGAACAACUAUAUUCUUCAUUGCUUAUUUAAAGUCAUUCAUUAAGAAGAAGAACAUGAAAGACCACAUUGCAUAGUGCUGAAAGUUUGUCCAAAUAUUUUGUGCCCCAAAAAUUUCAUAAGGAACAUUAUUCUCGUUCACUUAAAAAACUACAAAAGAGUGCAUAUACAUUGUAUACGUCGAAAGACAAUAUCCCUUUCUAGUGAGCAACUCAUUGAUCUAAUGAUCACUAUUCAAAUAACUUAUUUAUCUUUGUUAGGAGUGGUUGUUCAACAAAGAAUACUUAGUUAUUAGUCAGGAAUGGUUGUUGUUCAAAUAUUACUCAAUUUUAGCAAUGAGUGGUCAUGUUCCAAAGAACACCCAUUUUAACCAAGAGCAAUACAUUAUAAAAAAAUUACUUGUUUUAGUCAGGAGUGAUUUGGUCCAAAGAAUACUUGUUUUAGCUAAGACUGAUUACGGUAAAAAAAAUACUCAAGGAGUUAGCCAAGAGUAGUUAUAAGCUCAAAUAAUACUCAAGGGGUUAGCCAAGAAUGACUACAAGCCCAAAGAAAACUGUUUUUACUUUGCAACAUUAGUUUGCUCAAUGGAACUCAAUUUUUUUGAUUAAAAACUAAACAUAGUCUGUUGUGUAUUUAUCUUUCUGUUUAUCAUUUUUACUUUGCAUGACACAAUAAAUGAUAACUAUGAGAGUAUCCAUUGCAAGGCCUCUAGUAUUCUUGGGAGAAUACUACUUCUAUUGCAAAGACAGGAUGGAAAUGUACAUCAUGUUUAGACGAUAUCGAUUAUGGUAUAUAAUAGCCAAAGGAGAUAUAGAGAUCAAGAUCCCAAAGGAAGAAUGAACAAAAGUUUAUUAAAUGCAAAUCAAUGACAAGCUAGGUAUAAUUUAAUUUGCACUCUAUCAAAAGAAGAAUAUAAGAAGAUUUGCAAGGAGAAAUGGACUCCUUAGAGAUCAACUAUAAGGAAAAUAUAGGGGGUCAGUCAAACUCAAGUUCUGACUUUAAGUCAAAAGAAGAGAAGAUAAAUCUAUGUCGAAUAGUUGACAUAGACGAAAAGGUAAAUUCUAACCCCUUCUCUGAUAUUUUUCCAGCCUCUGAUUCUUCAUGCUUAUUGUUUGAUGACGAAAAUGGCGAUGAUCUCUCCUAUGAGGAUAUUCUUAACAACUAUAAUUCUAUAUCUAACUAGUAUUUUAAAUUAAAGAAAAAAUUUAAACCCCUACUUCUUGAAAAAUUUAGGACUUAAUAGAGAAAAAUUGCAAUUAAAUGAAAAAGUAUUAGUCUUGGAACAGACUAUAGCGUUAGAUGUAGAAAAAUGAAAAUAUUGGAGGAAAAAAUUACAUGUUGUAAGCAUGAUUUUGAGAAGUUUUCACAAUGCUCUAAAUCUCUAAAUCUUCUUUUUCAACUUCCACACAUAAGUUAGAUAAGUUUGGUUUAGACUAUGAUAUCCAAAAUAGAAAAGAUCAUUACAUAUGUUUUUGAAAAGAUUAAGGAGCUCAUUUUUCACAUUGUAGUAAACAUGGAUACUUUAGUGUCAAGUGUAGACACAAGGGAAAGUCUUUUAAUGCUAUAAUAAAGGGCCGAAGAAAAUAUUGGUACCAAAGGAAUUCAUUAUUUCUAUUGUAGGAAUUAUGAACAAGAGGUGGCAACAAACAAAGAUUGACAAUCACCAUUGGAUGAUAGGAAUACACAAAGGACAAAAAAUGUAUUUUCCCAAAUGUAAUCAAAUGCCUUUAGAUGAAAUCAUAAUCCUCUGAAAUGUUAGAUCCUUUAUUUGUAUUGAUAAUGCAAAAACUUAUUUAAAUGACUUUGACCAAACAAUGAAAUCAUUUGUGUGGUACUAAUGUGUUUGUUGAAGUUUGUACAAAGUAACAACCUGUUAAGUAAUCAUUAGGAAAUAUCAUGCAUUAAAGGGCAUUUAUGGUGAAAUGACAAAACCUUUAAUGUACAAUAAUCAAAGCAUCUCAACGUAGAAAAACGGUUGAUUGAAAUGAAGGAUGCACAAUGCCAUGUUUACGUCCAAGUCACCAAAGGAAACAUAACCAUCGUCUCGAUUUCAACUUUCAUCUUUCAAAUAAAAAUCAUCUCAUAUCACAAAAGCAUUCCUAAGGGGUUCAAACUUUGAGCGUGCUAGGUAUUCUCUAGGCAAAGUGUUAAGUUUAGUGGGAUGGGUAAAGUUUCCUAAUAAGGAAAUUUUAGAACCAUGAAGCAUAUGACUAGUUUUGGCCUAAAGACAUUUUAGAACCAUUUGUUUACCAAAUGGAAUUAAGAACUUAAGGAAAACCACUAAGAAUUUCAACCUUUCUACUUUUUUUUUAUAAUUACAAUCCCUAAUUCUUAAAGUUGAACCUCAUCAUAACCCAAGGUUGAAAAUCUUUUAAUGAAGCAUCAAAUUUCUCAACAAGAAAUGAUAAGAGCAUGAAAUGUUAAACGGUCCAGAUCUCAACACAUGAAUUCAAUAGUAUUUCCAUGAAAAGAGAAAAAUGUUUCUUUUGUUCUUUUUUUAUACAAUUUCUGGUCUCUAGUAGACCUAUUAGUAGGGUUCAAACCCAUAUGAAGUUUUGUGGAUGUACAAGAAAAUUUUCUACAAGUUUAAAAGAGCAAACUCACAAACCUUAAAGAUUCUUAAACACACACAGCCUACCUUACCAUUAGGACUAUAUAUAUAUAUGGUCAUCAUAGUGGCCCAAAUUAACCAUGCCCCUUUACUCAAUGAAAGAAGUAUAAUAGUGUCAUCCUAAAUUCAAACAUAUACGUUGAAAAGAUCUACAACACAUAAACACUAGGUCAACACGAAUAUCUUUGACACCUACUAAUAAAAGCUUAUCGUGCACAUAAAUACGUGCAAAAGCUUUAUUUUUUUCUUCUUUAAAAAGCUUCUUUUGUUUAUGAAGCUUCAUGCACUAGAUGGCUUGUAAAAGAGUUUGCUUAACUUGUAUAAUCUUUCACAUUUGUGUGAAGUUAGAAUCUUGACAAGGAGUUAUUGUAUUUCAUAUCCACUCUCGGUUGAACGUUAGGAGUUUAGAGGAUAACCAGUGAAGGUUUAUAGAGUGCUUUGAUUUUUUUUUAACCUAUUUUAGAAAUACAAAGCCAAAAGAAAAUACUACUCUACUUUUGAAAAUUUGUACAAGCUAAGGCAGAGAUUUCUUCUGCAUUUUUUUGUGGUUGGCCUUCUACUCUUAGCUGAGUGUAUGGUGGCUUGGAAGUGAAGACGGUCCUCCAUCAUUCUUCCUCGCUAUCAUGUGACGAAGAUAUUGAAGCAUUCCAACAUACUAGACUUUUUAGAACAUAAACUUUAUCAAAUUUGUCAAAAUUUUCAUAUUCAAGAGACUUCGCAAUCAUGAUAUGAUUAGCUCAAAAAUUUAAUGUAACAAUAACAUCACCAUCGACUAUUGGACCAACAAGUUCCCACUCUCAUCAACAAUAACAAAAGAUGGCAGAUACUUGUCAUUGGCCUAUGGUUCAUUGGUCUUUGGUUUCUCCUCAAUUUGUUGAUAGCUUCAAGGGCUUUAAAUUUGGAUUGUAAUUCAUUUUCCUUCUCUUUUUGUGCCAAAAACAGAAAAUGGACCUCUUCUACUUGACUGACUUUACUUUCUUUGUCUUUCCCCAUAUCAACAUAUUUUUCUUCCAAUUUUGUAAACCUUCUUUCCAUGUUACCUAGUUUUGCUUCAACACUCUCCAAUUCAGAUACCAGGACACUCCUUUUAUUAAAAAAGAUUGUGCUUUUCAUUAUUCAGUAAAUCGAAAAAUUCUUCCUAGCUACUUAAUUUCACUCUUAAACCAUCAAGCUCAAUUUUUGCAUCACAGAGGACUUCUCUGACAAGAUAUUCUUUAAGUUGAGUUUGAACAUUUGAUUCUUUGUCAUCUCCACGUGUGCGAGCACUCGUCCAAUUUUGUCCUUCAAGAGCAAAUUCGGUCUUUUAUGAAAACCAAACAACCUUUCUCCAAUAAUUAUCCCAUAUUAAGAAUAUUACUUUUCAAGUCAGUUACAAAAUAAAUGUCCUCCAUAGUACCUUCUUUUCCAUCAUUUUGGGAAAAUCAUAUUUUCCCCGACCUUUGACUAGAACCUUAGUUGAGUCUCCAAAAGACACAUGUCCAUCUUCUAUCUCUUCUAUAACAAUAAAGAGGUGUUUGUGCCCGUACAUAUGAUUACUAGCAACAUACCAUACCAUGUCACUAUUUAGAGUGAUGCCUUCAUUGGCCAUCCUCAUAAUUCCUUUAUCUUUUGUCUCAUCUUCCUCAACUAAAUUUGCGCUUUCUUCCACUUUUUUCUUGGCAUAACAAUCAUUUGCGUAAUGUCCAUAUUUUUCACAGUUGUAACAUUCAACAUUUGGACGAUUUGAAGAACCAUCAUCUCUUCAUUGUUGUUUCCAAAAUCGCCCCUUUGGUUAUGUUGCGCAUACAUCACGUUGUCUUCAUUGAUGGUCAUUUUUAUUUGUAUGGUUUCCUCUAAGACUUCUUAUUUCCUUUUCUUCUUUAAUUGUUCGUGUCCUUCAAGAGAACCCGCGAGGUCACCAAUUGCCAUUUCUUCAAAAUUUCUUGAUUCCUCGAUUGCAUAUACAACAUUUUAAAAGUCAUCGGUCAAAGAUUGAAGAAUUUUCUCCAUGAACCUUUCAUUCGUGAGAGUUUCUCCAUUGCUUUUGAAUUUUUCUGGCUAUCGUUUGCACACGAGUAAUGUAACUAGAUACAACUUGCGAAUACAUCAUUUUCAUGACCUCUAACUCACCUUGUAGAGUUUGAAGACACGUUUGUUUAACUCGAACGAAACCCUUGAACACCUUUUUCCAAAAUGUCCCAUGUUUUUUUUAAGUUGAGGCACUACCAAUCUUCUCAAAAAGUGACUCAUCAACAACUCGAUACAACAUGUACAAAGGUGCCUUAUCUUUUGAUUGUGUCUCUUUCAAUGUUUUAUUUUGGGUCGUUGAGUAUCCUAUGGUAUUUUCCGGUUCUUCAAAACCUUUUUGAACCACCUCCCAAAGGGCUUUCAUUUGGAUGACCCAAUUUUCACAAUUCGCCAUCUUUGUUAGUUGAGGUAGUGACAGAUUAUUGGUUACACUUACCAUAGCAGCUCUGAUACCAAUUUGUGAAUAGAGAAUAUACUUUUAUUUCAUUGUUGUAUUUUCAAAUGGAGAGUAUGAUAUCAAUAUAUAGUCUCAUAAAUGUUAUGCUAUAAAUGACAAUUAAAAUAUAACUGAUGGUUUUGAGUUUAAUGUUUAAUACAAACUUGACUGAAUUAAGGAACAAGUUUUUCACAAUAACGCACGGGUGUGAGGAUGAGUGCGAGGCUGGUCCCAAUCAGCCACAAUGUGAUCACGAAUGAUUUCCUUUAGUGAACGACAACCACUCAAAGCCAUGGUUAGCUCAAACUCUUCAUGUAGCAUCUGCAACACUUUUCUUACACCAACCUCUCCUUCAGCAGCCAAGGAGAACACCACAGGGCGUCCAAU
rnacentral:lncRNA from 1 species